rnacentral:lncRNA from 1 species
UCAAGCUGACUUAUGGCCAAAGUCACAUGCUGACCACCUUCAUAGGCGAAGAAAAAUGGAAAUUUGAGAAGGUCAGGCAGCUGAAGAAAGCACUGUACAAGAAGGAGUGCCUUCUGAAGAAAAACAUCAUGAAAAUGACCACUGAUGAACUCAUUGCUGCUCAGACGGAGAUCAAAAACCUCAAUGAUGAAUUUGACACGUACCAUGCAGAUUGGCUUGGAGCCGAAGUCGGGUUUGUAAAGUUAGCUGAAAAAUUCACUACCAAUGUUGUAGCCCCAACGCAACAAGAAAUUCCUCAGGCUGAAGCAUCUGCUCAGCCUACUGAAGAAAAUGCCAGCACCGCUGAUGACAAUCAGGCUGCUGAAGAAAAUGCUAGUACCAGAGCUGAUGACUGCAUUCCAACCGCUGAUGAAACUGCCAGGGCAACCACUAGUGUUGCGCCUGAAGAAACUGUCAGGACAGCUGAAGCUUCAACCGCUGUGCCUGAAUAAACUGCCAGGGGAACUACAUCAGUUGUGCCUGAAGAAACGCAACCAAUUUCCUCUGCUUGUCCUACACCUACAUCAAGUCCAAUUAUUCCUUCAACAUCAGAAGCAAAGAAGACCAAGGGUGCAGAGCGCGCAGCUGUGAAGAAAAGGAAAGCAUCAACUUCAUCAGAAUCUUCAGCUCCGAAGAAGAUGAAGAAAUUAACCAGCUCUUUUGAAAAUCCGAUUGAUGUUGUUCCAGUCUCAAGCAUGCCAUCAAAGGAACUCGUUCCUUUUGAUGAAGAAUACAUGAUCCCAAGCGGAUCCGAUGAAGACAUUCCUUCUGCUGCUUCUUCAAAGCAGUUGGAUGAAGAAAUUGAAGUGGAUGCCCUUCAACACCGGUUGUCUCAUCGCUGAUGCCUCAGUUUACUGCUGAAGAGGCCGGCGUUGAAGAAAUAAAUGAACAUGAGGAUGUGUACAUUGGGUGCACAACGCCAGUGAUGAAUGAUGACUUUUGGGAAAGUCGGCACCCCAAUUCUCCUUUGUUCACUCCUCUGCAACAAAUUCCUCAGUCCCCCGUGACUACUGAAGUUCAAAUGGGAUCUGAAGAACCACACCCCAUCCGGUCUAUACCUGAAGAGAUUCCAGCCACUAGUGCUGAUGAAAUCGCUGCUAAAGAAUUGAAGACCCAGGCCGCCACUGAAGAAGAAACUGAAAUUCCUCAGCCCAUGGAUCCCGAGAUUGCGAUUCCUGAGGUUGUGAUGCAAUUGACUGACACUCCUCAGCCCAAGCCAAAGUAUCCUUUCUCAAAGAAGCCAAAAUUCAAUGUUGAUGACUUCUUCCAUGAGCAUGUAUUCUUCACGGACUACAACCCAUAUGACUCUGCUUGUCUUAGAGGAAGCAUUUCUAGACUACCAGCCAAGCAAACUUCUAUUCUUCGCUGCUUUUAAACAAAGACAAAGUCUUUGACCAUGAGCAUAUUCCUCACAUAGACAUGGAAUCACUGCCUUGCUUCGCGCCAAUCCUCAGUGUUCUUUAUGACGCUAGACUGCUCAACUUUUGCACUGAUAUUGUUGAUUGGAAUGAAGAGCUAAUUCUCCAGUUCUAUGCAACGCUGCACAUCACAGGAGAUGCUGAAGAUGUGAACUCUUGCGUAUUGGACUGGAUGACAGAGAAUACACACUUCAAAGCACCGGCCUCUGAAUUGCUUCAUGCCCUGCCUGUCAGUUGUAACGCCCUCGAUGCGGCUAUAUCUCCUACGUGUCGAAGCACGACUUAGAGGCAUAACAGCAUUGAAAGCAAUGUCGCAAGUAAGGUAAUCUUCACAACAACCCAUGUAAAUAGAUAAUAGGGAAAAAGGUACAUAGUUGGAUUACACUCGCCAUGUCACACAAAGUACAUAAAUAACAUUACAAUCAUCCAAUACACUCAUGGUCCGACUAAGGUACCAAAAUAAAAGAUCAACCCCAACAUGCGACACGGUCCCGAUCGCCCCAACUGGGCACCACUACUGAUCAUCAGGGAAAGACACAUAGUAACGGCGUGAGUCUUCAUCGAACUCCCACUUGAGCUCAAGUGCAUCAUCUGGAACAGAAUCAUCGGUCCUUGCAUUUGGUUUGGAAGUAAUCUAUGAGCCACGGAGACUCAGCAAUCUCGCACCCUUGCGAUCAAGACUAUUUAAGCUUAUAGGUAAGGCAAGGUAAUAUGUGGAGCUGCAGCAAGCGACUAGCAUAUAUGGUGGCUAACCUGUUCGCAAAAGAGAGCGAGAAGAGAAGGCGAAGCUGAACGAGAAACUAUAGAACAACCUACGGCAAACAUUACUCCAACACCAUGUUCACUUCCCGGACUCCGCCGAGAAGAGACCAUCACGGUUACACACGCAGUUGAUUCAUUUUAAUUAAGUUAAGGUUCAUGUUAUCUACAAUCGGACAUUAACAAAUUCCCAUCUGCCCAUAACCGCGGGCACGGCUUUUGAAAGUUCAAAUCCCUGCAGGGGAGUCCCAACUUAGCCCAUCACAAGCUCUCACGGUCAACGAAGGAUAAACCUUCUCCCGAGACAUUCUGAUCAGACUCGGUAUCCCGGUUCUACAAGACAACUUCAACAAGGUAAAACAAAACCAGCAACACUGCUCGAAUGUGUCGACAAAUCCCAAUAGGAGCUGCACAUAUCUCGUUCUCAAGGCACACUCAGAUGAGCGCUCCAUACAACUAAAACCAAACCUCGAGUUUCCCCAGGGGGCGCUGCAUAGGGCUCUAGUUUGGACCAACACUCAGAGGAGCACUGGCCCGGGGGGCUUUAAAUAAGAUGACCCUAGGGCUCCGGAAACCCAAGGGAAAAAGAGGCUAGGUGGAAAAUGGUAAAACCAAGGUUGGGCAUUGCUGGAAGAGUUUUAUUCAAGGCGAACUGUCAAGGAGUUCCCAUUAUCACUCAACCGCGUAAGGAACGCAAAAUCCGGGAACAUAACACCGAUAUGACGGAAACUAGGUCGGCAAGAGUGGAACAAAUCACUAGGAAAAAGGCCGAGCCUUCCACCCUUUACCAAGUAUAUAGAUGCAUUAAGAUAUAAAGAUAAUAUAGUGAUAUCCCAACAAUAACCAAUGUUCCAACAUGGAACGAGCUCCAAUCUUCACUUGCAACUAGCAACGCUAUAAGAGGGGCUGAGCAAAGCGGUAACAUAGACAAACAACGGUUUGCUAGGACAUGGUGGGUAGAUGUUUGACAUGGCAAUUUGGGAGGCAUGAUAAGCAAGUGGUAGGCAUCGUAUCAUAGGCAUAGCAAAAGAGCGAGCAUCUAGCAAGCAAAGAUAGAAGUGAUUUCGAGGGUAUGAUCAUCUUUCCUGCAAAGUUGUCAGAGUUGACUUGAUCCUCGUAAGCACACUCAACGGGCUCCUCGUUAGCGAACUCGUCUCCCGGCUCUACCCAAACAAGAUAAACAAGCAAAAGGAACACAAUCAACCACGUGCAAAGCACAAACAAAUAUGAUGCAAACAUGGUAUGCUAUGCGGGAUGCGAUAUAUGAUGCAUAUGCAAGAUUUGACGAGGAAUGAUUGACCCUGGCCUCAACUUGGAAAUCCAAGAGUGCCACUGGAAAGGUGAGGUGAUUUCGGUUGAAAUCGAUAUAAAGAUCACCGGAACCGGAUGUACGGUUUGGAAAUGGCAAGCAAAACAAAUAUGGCACCGGUCUGCGAUAAACAGCAAGUAGCCAUCUAAAUGCAUCAAGAUAAAUAUGCUACAACACUCAAACAUGGCAACAAAAUACAUGGCAGGGAUCCACUCAUGAUGCUUGACAAAAGAUGAACACUGAGCUACGGCCAAUUCAUCCAUUAACAGGUUCAAACAAGCAUGGCAAAAAUGCAAACGAUAACAGGUUUCAGACUUCGUGAAAUUAACACAAGUCUGGAGUUUCACAUCAGGUAGCACACUUUGGAGCAUGAAAACUAUAUGUUACAGGAACUUAACAUGGCAAAGAAAGGCAUGACAUGAAGCUACUCAAAGCACUUAACAAAAGUCCCUUAGUGACCUUGGGCCAAAAGGGAUCAGAAAAUACAAUUGCAAGUAUGCGAACAUGGCAAAAACAUAAUCAGAUUAUAGACUUAGAGAAAAACUGGAACAUGCAAAUCUGUUAACGAAUAGAGAUGUUCACGAGCUCGAUGCACUCACUACAGAGCAAGGCAUGACAAUCUAAGCAUACACCCAUCAAGAAUACAUAUCAUAGAAGCUAUACAUGGCAAGAACAACAAUAUAGCAUGCACGGAUCAAUAACAACAUCCUCGGCAAAAUCGCUAACAAGUCAACAAUCUGCCAGGAUUCACGAAAUAGCAAAAGUAGAGCUCGAUUGACUCAAGCUAUGGUGCUCCCUAAAAACAGCAUUAACGAAUGCACUACUUUGCAAGCUUGUGUUAGUCACCACACAUGUCACAAAAAUACAUGAUAAGCACCUCUGUAAAGAUGGCAUGACAUAUAACAAAACACAUGUAGAGCUCAGGAGCAUAUCAUGCACACAUUAAUCAUGGCAAAAAUGACACAUAGCUAUUUGGUGCAGCAGAUCUGACAAUUAUCUCGAAUAGCUCUCUUCCAACAGCAUUUCGGGCAUCAAGAUGAGCUCAAAUGAAAAUGAUGCAAUGAGAUGAAAUGAUGUACUCUCUGAGGCGAACACUUUGAUACGCUACACGCGCAAAACAGAGCUACGGAUGCAAAGUUAUGGCAUGAUGAAAAACGCAAAAUAACUAGGGUUUCGGGGGAAAGUCAAACGAGGAGAAAGUCUUAGAUCCAGAUCUGGCACGGUUCACGAUGCGCUCGCCGGAGUUUACUGCAGCUCGCCGGACUUGGCGCGGUGGCCGGACUUGGCGCAGCGCACGCCGACNNNNNNNNNNNNNNNNNNNNNNNNNNNNNNNNNNNNNNNNNNNNNNNNNNNNNNNNNNNNNNNNNNNNNNNNNNNNNNNNNNNNNNNNNNNNNNNNNNNNNNNNNNNNNNNNNNNNNNNNNNNNNNNNNNNNNNNNNNNNNNNNNNNNNNNNNNNNNNNNNNNNNNNNNNNNNNNNNNNNNNNNNNNNNNNNNNNNNNNNNNNNNNNNNNNNNNNNNNNNNNNNNNNNNNNNNNNNNNNNNNNNNNNNNNNNNNNNNNNNNNNNNNNNNNNNNNNNNNNNNNNNNNNNNNNNNNNNNNNNNNNNNNNNNNNNNNNNNNNNNNNNNNNNNNNNNNNNNNNNNNNNNNNNNNNNNNNNNNNNNNNNNNNNNNNNNNNNNNNNNNNNNNNNNNNNNNNNNNNNNNNNNNNNNNGGGUGGAGGCGCGGUGAUGUGGGCGCGGGGCGGCGGCGAACCGGAAGGCGCCACGUGGCGCUGGCGGGCGGGUCGGACACGUCCGGCCGGCGAGAUUUUGUUCGGCCGCGAGGAGAGGGAGAGGGUUAGGGUUUCACCUGGGAAUUUCGGAGGGGGUUCUUUAUAUAGGCAUAGAGGGAGCUAGGAGAGUCCAAAUGAGGUGCGGUUUUCGGCCACGCGAUCGUGAUCAAACGCUCUAGAUGAUGGAGAGAGUUUUGGUGGGUUUUGGGCCAAAAUGGAAGGGUGUUGGGCUGCAACACACACGAGGCCUUCUCGGUCCCUCGGUUAACCGUUGGAGUAUCAAACGAAGUCCAAAUGGUACGAAACUUGACAGGAGGUCUACCAGUAGUAAACCAAGGCCGCGUGGCAAGUCUCGGUCCAAUCCAGAAAUGUUUAACCCCCACACACGAAAAGAUGUAGAAAAGACCACCGGAGGAGAUAGGAGCGCCGGAAUGCAAAACGGACAACGGGGAAAAUGCUCGGAUGCAUGAGACGAACACGUAUGCAAAUGCAAUGCACAUGAUGACAUGAUAUGAGAUGCAUGACAAAGGCAACAACACACAGAGACAAAAGCCCGAACCCGAGGAAAUAAAAUAACUUAGCGCUGGAAACGGCAAGAGUAUGAGUACAUAUUAGGUAAAUUACAUCCGGGGUGUUACAUCAGUCCUCCCCUUGAAGGCGCUCGUUGCAUAUAUCAUGAACCUGAACUUACCGCUCACUACAUGCAAGUGUUGAUGAAGCCGCUGAAGCCCGAUCAAGCCCCAAGGACCAAAUUCCUCGUGAAGGAAUUGUUGUUUGUUCCUAGAACUAUCUAUCGCAAUCUGUCGAAGACAUUGAGUCCAAUAAAAGGCCACGACUCGAAUGAUGAAGAAUUUGUUGGCAUCAUGAAGAAUCUGCUAUCAUACAUGGCAUUCCUAUGAACUACCAUGACUUCUUCUUGAGGACUCUGGCAAAUGUUGCACUCUCUCCAUUUGAGUUGAAGCCUUAUGCUCCUUGGAUUAUGAGAUUCCUCAGAACAAGGUCUUCACUCAACUACAAGGCUGAUUUUCAGAAUCAUGUCAGUUACUUGCCCCCAAUAGAAGUCCUCAAGCGGACAUUUUCCUCAUCUGAUGAAAAGGGCAAGGCUACUACUAUUAUUGAUGAAGGCAUUCAUCCAUUGGAUGGUCUGUUCCGCAAAGCUGCAUCCUACUCCACCAAUAAUGACUCUGCCACUCAUGACUCUGCCGCAAAUGCUUCAAAGCAAAAUCCUCAAGGAACAGCUCCAAGGGUGAUGACUGAUCGUGAGCUUCUCCUCAGUCUUCACCGGAAGGUCGAUCGCAACCACAAAUGGGUUAAGUGUCAGUUUGGUUCUAUUCUUCACAACAUGACUGCUACACACAAUGAAGUGAAGAAAAACCAUUUCUACCUCCAUGAAGUCUUCGGUCGCACCUGGGUUGUUUUGUCGAAUCUGUAUGGUGAAGAUGAUCUGAAGCAAAUGGGUCUCAAGCAGCACUUUGACUGGUCUCAACCACCGGUGAAGAAAUUCAAGAAGACCAAAGUUCCUUCCUUAAUAGCUGAUACGUCCAUUUUGCAUCACGCUUUUAUAUCAAUAUUUAUUGCAUUAUGGGAUGUUAUUACACAUUAUGUCACAAUACUUAUGCUUAUUCUCUCUUAUUUUACAAGGCUAACAUAAAGAGGGAGAAUGUCGGCAGCUGGGAUUCUGGCUAGAAAAGGAGCAAAUAUUAGAGACCUAUUCUACACAGCUCCGAAAGUCCUGAAACUUCACGGAUGAUGUUUUCCAAAUAUAUAAAAACAUUGAGCGCAAGAACUUCGCCAGGGGGGGCACACUCUACCCACGAGGGUGGGGGCGCGCCCUACCCCCUGGGCGCGCCCCCCUACCUCGUGGGCCCCCUGGUGGCCCUCCGGUGACCAUCUUCUACUAUAUGGACUCUUUCGAUGGGAAAAAAUCAUAAGCCAUCUUCUCGGACGAAACUCCGCCGCCACGAGGCGGAACCUUGGCGGGCCAAUCUAGGGUUCUGGCAGGGCUGUUCUGCCAGGGAAACUUCCCUCCCAGAGGGAGAAAUCAUCUCCAUCAUCAUCACCAACGCUCCUCUCAUCGGAAGAGGGCAAUCUCCAUCAUCAUCUUCAUCAGCACCAUCUCAUCUCAAAACCCUAGUUCAUCUCUUGUAUCCAAUUCUUGUCUCCAAGUCCGGGAUUGGUGCUAGUAGGUUGCUAGUAGUGUUAAUUACUCCUUGUAGUUGAUGCUAGUUGGUUUAAUUGGUGGAAGAUCAUAUGUUCAGAUCCUAUAUGCACAUUAAUACCCCUCUGAUUAUGAACAUGUUUAUGCUUUGUGAGUAGUUACUUUUGUUCCUGAGGACAUGGGAGAAGUCUUGCUAUUAGUAGUCAUGUGCAUUUGGUAUUCGUUCGAUAUUUUGAUGAGAUGUAUGUUGUCUCUCCUCUAGUGGUGUUAUGUGAAUGUCGACUACAUGACACUUCACCAUUGUUUGGGCCUAGAGGAAGGCAUUGGGAAGUAAUAAGUAGAUGAUGGGUUGCUAGAGUGACGGAAGCUUAAACUCUAGUUUAUGCGUUGCUUCGUAAGGGGCUGAUUUGGAUCAAUAUGUUUCAUGCUAUGGUUAGGUUUACCUUAAUACUUUUGUUGUAUUUGCGGAUGCUUGCAAUACAGGUUAAUCAUAAGUGGUAUGCUUGUCCAAGUAAGGGCAGCACCCAAGCACCGGUCCACCCACAUACCAAAUUAUCAAAGUACCGAACGCGAAUCAUAUGAGUGUGAUGAAAACUAGCUUGACGACAUUCCCAUGUGUCCUCGGGAGCGCUUUACAUCAUAUGAGAGUUUGUCCAGGCUUGUCCUUUGCUACAAAAAGGAUUGGGCCACCUUGCUGCACCUUAUUUACUUUUGUUACUUGUUGCUCAUUACAAUUAUUUUAUCCCAAAACUAUCUGUUACCACUUAUUUCAGUACUUGCAGAGAAUACCUUGUUGGAAACCGCUUAUCAUUUCCUUCUGCUCCUCGUUGGGUUCGAUACUCUUACUAAUCGAAAGUACUACAAUAGAUCCCCUUUACUUGUGGGUCAUCAAGACUCUUUUCUGGUGCCGUUGCCGGAGAGUGAAGUGCCUUUGGUAGGUGGAAUUUGGUAAGGAAAAAUUUAUAUAGUGUGCUGAAAUUUACUGUCACUUCUUACUAUGGAAAGUAAUCCUCUAAGGGGCUUGUUCGGGGUAUCUUCACCCCGACCAGUAGAGCAAAGAGUUGCUCCUCAACCUACUGAACCUACUAAAAAUGAAAAUUCUUGCUUCGAAAUUCCUUUGGGUAUGGUAGAAAAACUGCUAGCUAAUCCUUUUUUGGGAGAUGGAACAAAACAUCCUGAUGAGCAUCUAAUAUAUGUGGAUGAAGUUUGUGGAUUAUUUAAGCUUGCAGGUGUACCCGGAGAUGUUGUUAAGAAGAAGGUCUUCCCUUUAUCUUUGAGGGGAGAUGCAUCGACAUGGUACAGGCUAUGUGAUGAUAUGGAGUCUUGGAAUUACAAAUGAUUGAAAUUGGAAUUUCAUCAAAAGUUUUAUCAUAUGCAUCUUGUUCAACGUGAUUGCAAUUAUAUAUAUAAUUUUUGGCCUCGCGAAGGAGAAAGCAUCGUUCAAGCUUGGGGGAGGCUUAAAUCAAUGUUAUAUUCAUGCCCCAAUCAUGAGCUCUCAAGAGAAAUGAUUAUUCAAAAAAUUUAUGCUCAGCUUUCUGAUAACAAUCACACCAUGCUUGAUACUUCUUGUGCUGAUUCUUUUAUGAUGAAGACUAUUGAAUUCAAAUGGGAUUUAUUGGAAAGAAUUAAAUGCAACUCCAAAGAUUGGGACCUCGACAAUAGUAAGGAGUCAGGUAUGACACCUAGUUUUGAUUGUGUUAAAUCUUUUAUGGAUACCGAUAUUUUUCGUAAAUUUAGCACUAAAUAUGGACUUGACUCUGAGAUAGAAGCUUCUUUCUAUGAAUCUUUUGCUGCUUAUGUUGAUCUCCCCAAGGAGAAGUGGUUUAAAUAUCAUCCCCCCAUAGAAGUAAAAGUAGCUGCACCUAUUAAAGUUGAAGAAAAGACUAUUACUUAUAAUGAUCCUAUUGUUCCUACUUCUUAUGUUGAGAAACCGCCUUUCCCUAUUAGGAUCAAGGAUCAUGCUAAAGCUUCAACUGUGGUUCGUAAAAGCAAUAUUAAAACAUAUACACCUCCUGAGCAAGUUAAAGUUGAACCUAAUAUUGCUAUUGUUAAAGAUCUCUUGUCUGAUAAUAUAGAUGGGCAUGUUAUUUAUUUCUGUGAUGAAACUGCUAGAAUUGCUAAACCUCGUGAUACAUAUAAACCUAGACCUGUGAUAGGCAUGCCUGUUAUUUCUGUUAAAAUAGGAGAUCAUUGUUAUCAUGGCUUACGUGAUAUGGGUGCUAGUGCUAAUGCAAUACCUUUUGACUUAUACAAAGAAAUUAUGCAUGACAUUGCACCUAUUGAGAUAGAAGAUAUUGAUGUCACAACUAAACUUGCUAAUAGAGAUACUAUUUCACCAAUGCGAAUUGUUAGAGAUGUUGAAGUCUUGUGUGGGAAAACUAAAUAUCCUGCUGAUUUUCUUGUUCUUGGUUCCCCACAAGAUAGCUUAUGUCCCAUUAUAUUUGGUAGACCCUUCUUAAAUACUGUUAAUGCUACCAUAAAUUGCAAAAGAGAUGUUGUUAAUAUCGGUUUAGAUGAUAUGACUCAUGAAUUUAAUUUUUCUAAAUUUAGUAGACAACACCGUGAAGAAAAAUUACCUAGUAAAGAUGAAAUUAUUCGUCUUGCUUCUAUUGUCGUACCUCCUAGUGAUCCUUUAGAACAAUAUUUGCUAGACCAUGAAAAUGAUAUGUUUAUGAAUGAAAGAAGGGAAUUAGAUGAAGUAUUCUUUAAACAUGAAUCUAUUCUGAAACACAAUUUACCUGUUGAAAUCCUAGGAGAUCCUCCUCCACCCAAGGGUGAUCCCGUGUUUGAGCUUAAACCCUUACCGGAUACUCUUAAAUAUGCUUAUCUUGAUGAGAAAAAGAUAUAUCCUGUUAUUAUUAGUGCUAACCUUUUAGAACAUGAAGAAGAGAGAUUAUUGAAAACUCUGAAGAAGCACCAUGCUGCUAUUGGGUAUACUCUUGAUGAUCUUAAGGGCAUUAGUCCCACUCUAUGUCAACAUAAAAUUAAUUUGGAAGAAGAUGCUAAACCAGUUUGUGAUCAUCAAUGCCGACUGAAUCCUAAAAUGAAAGAAGUGGUAAGAAAAGAAAUACUAAAGCCCUUAAGCUCCUUGAGGCAGGUAUAAUUUACCCCGUUGCUGAUAGUCAGUGGGUAAGCCCUGUCCAUUGUGUCCCUAAGAAGGUAGGUAUUACUGUUGUUCCUAAUGACAAAGAUGAAUUGAUUCCUCAAAGAAUUAUUACUGGUUAUAGGAUGGUAAUUGAUUUCUGCAAGUUAAAUAAGGCUACUAAAAAGGAUCAUACCCUUUACCUUUUAUCGAUCAAAUGCUAGAAAGAUUAUCCAAACAUACACAUUUUUACUUUCUAGAUGGUUAUUCUGGUUUCUCUCAAAUACCUGUUGUUGGGGAACGUAGAAUAAAUUCAAAAUUUUCCUACGUGUCACCAAGAUCUAUCUAUGGAGUCAUCUAGCAACGAGGGAGGAGUGGAUCUACAUACCCUUGUAGAUCGCGCGCGGAAGCGUUCAAGAGAACGGGGUUGAUGGAGUCGUACUCGUCGUGAUCCAAAUCACCGAUGAUCCUAGCGCCGAACGGACGGCACCUCCACGUUCAACACACGUACGGAGCAGCGACGUCUCCUCCUUCUUGAUCCAGCAAGGGGGAAGGAGAGGUUGAUGGAGAUCCAGUAGCACGACGGCGUGGUGGUGGAAGUAGCGGGAUUCCAACAGGGCUUCGCCAAGCGCUGCGGGAGGAGGGAGAUGUGUCAUGGGAGGGAGAGGGAGGCGCCAGGGCUUAGGUAUGGUUGCCCUCCCUUCCCCCCACUAUAUAUAGGGCCAAGGGAGAGGGGGGCGCAGCCUUGGCCCUUCCUCCAAGGCAGGGUGCGGCCAGGGAGGAGUCCAUCCUCCCCAAGGCACCUCGGAGGUGCCUUCCCCCUUUAGGACUCUUCCUUUCCUUAUCUCUUGGCGCAUGGGCCUCUUGGGGCUGGUGCCCUUGGCCCAUACAAGCCAAGGCGCACACCCCUACAGCCCAUGUGGCCCCCGGGGUAGGUGGCCCCACCCGGUGGACCCCCAGGACCCUUCUGGUGGUCCCGGUACAAUACCGGUGACCCCGAAACUUGUCCCGAUGGUCGAAAUAGCACUUCCUAUAUAUAAUUCUUUACCUCCGGACCAUUUAGGAACUCCUCGUGACGUCCGAGAUCUCAUCUGGGACUCCGAACAACUUUCGGGUUACCACAUACUAAUAUCUCUAUAACCCUAGCGUCACCGAACCUUAAGUGUGUAGACCCUACGGGUUCGGGAGACAUGCAGACAUGACCGAGAUGACUCUCCGGUCAAUAACCAACAGCGGGAUCUGGAUACCCAUGUUGGCUCCCACAUGUUCCACGAUGAUCUCAUCGGAUGAACCACGAUGUCAAGGACUUAAUCAAUCCCGUAUACAAUUCCCUUUGUCUAGCGGUACGAUACUUGCCCGAGAUUCGAUCGUCGGUAUCCCGGUACCUUGUUCAAUCUCGUUACCGGCAAGUCUCUUUACUCGUUUCGUAACACAUCAUCCCGUGAUCAACUCCUUGAUCACAUUGUGCACAUUAUGAUGAUGUCCUACCGAGUGGGCCCAGAGAUACCUCUCCGUCACACGGAGUGACAAAUCCCAGUCUCGAUUCGUGCCAACCCAACAGACACUUUCGGAGAUACCUGUAGUGUACCUUUAUAGCCACCCAGUUACGUUGUGAUGUUUGGCACACCCAAAGCACUCCUACGGUAUCCGGGAGUUGCACAAUCUCAUGGUCUAAGGAAAUGAUACUUGACGUUAGAAAAGCUUUAGCAUACGAACUACAUGAUCUUGUGCUAGGCUUAGGAUUGGGUCUUUGUCCAUCACAUCAUUCUCCUAAUGAUGUGAUCCCGUUAUCAAUGACAUCCAAUGUCCAUGGUCAGGAAACCGUAACCAUCUAUUGAUCAACGAGCUAGUCAACUAGAGGCUUACUAGGGACAUGGUGUUGUCUAUGUAUCCACACAUGUAUCUGAGUUUCCUAUCAAUACAAUUUUAGCAUGGAUAAUAAAGGAUUAUCAUGAACAAGGAAAUAUAAUAAUAACUAAUUUAUUAUUGCCUCUAGGGCAUAUUUCCAACAGUCUCCCACUUGCACUAGAGUCAAUAAUCUAGUUCACAUCGCUAUGUGACUAACACUCAAGGUCACAUCCCCAUGUGACUAACACCCAAAGAGUUUACUAGAGUCAAUAAUCUAGUUCACAUUACCAUGUGAUUAACACUCGAUGAGUUCUGGGUUUGAUCAUGUUAUGCUUGUGAGAGAUGUUACAGUCAACGGGUCUGAAUCUUUCAGAUCCGUAUGUACUUCGCAAAUUUCUUAUGUCAUCUUGUAGAUGCAGCUACUACACUAUAUUUGGAGCCAUUUCAAAUAACUGUUCUACUUGGAGCUAUUCUAAAUUGUUGCUCCAUUAUACGUAUCCGGUAUCUCUACUCAGAGCUAUCCGGAUAGGUGUUAAGCUUGCAUCGACGUAACUCUUUACGUCGAACUCUUUAUCACCUCCAUAACCGAGAAACAUAUCCUUAUUCCUCUAAGGAUAAUUUAGACCGCUAUCUGGUGAUCCACUCCUAGAUUACCUUUGUACCCUCUUGCCAGAUAUGUGGCAAGGCACACAUCAGGUGCGGUACUCAGCAUGGCAUACCGUAUAGAGCCUAUGACAAAAGCAUAGGGGACGACCUUUGUCCUUCCUCUUUCUUCUGCCGUGGUCGAGCUUUAAGUCUUAACUUCAUACCUUACAACUCAGGCAAGAACUCCUUCUUUGACUGAUCCAUCUUGAACACCUUCAAGAUCAUGUCAAGGUAUGUGCUCAUUUGAAAGUACCAUUAAGCGUUUUGAUCUAUCCUUAUAGAUCUUGAUGCUCAAUGUUCAAGUAGCUUAAUCCAGGCUUUCCAUUGAAAAACACUUUCCAAAUAACCCUAUAUGCUUUCCAGAAAUUCUACGUCAUUUCUGAUCAACAAUAUGUCAACAACAUAUACUCAUCAGAAAUUCUAUAGUGCUCCCACUCACUUCUUUGGAAAUACAAGUUUCUCAUAAACUUUGUAUAAACCCAAAAUCUUUGAUCAUCAUCAAAGCAUACAUUCCAACUCCGAGAUGCUUACUCCAGUCCUUAGAAGGAUUGCUGGAGCUUUGCAUACUUUUUAGCAUCUUUCAGGAUUGACAAAACCUUCCGGUUGUAUCACAUACAACCUUUCCUCAAGAAAAUCGUCGAGGAAACAAUGUUUUGACAUCCUAUCUGCAAGAUUUCAUAAAUAAUGCAGUAAUCGCUAAUAUAAUUCCAACAGACUCUUAGCAUCGCUAUGAGUGAGAAAGUCUCACCGUAGUCAACUCCUUGAACUUGUCGGAAACUUCUUAAUGACAAGUCGAGCUUUCUUAAUGGUGACAUUUACCAUCAUUGUCCGUCUUCCUUUUAAAAUCCAUCUGCACUCAACAGCCUUACGUCCAUCGAGUUGUUCUGCCAAAGUCUACACUUUGUUUUCAUACAUGGAUCCUCUCUCGGAUUUUAUGGCCUCGAGCCAUUUAUCGGAAUCCGGGCCCACCAUCUCUUCUCCAUAGCUCGUAGGUUCAUUGUUGUCUAGCAACAUGACUUCCAAGACAGGAUUACGUACCAUUCUGAAGUAGUACGCAUCCUUGUCAUCCUACGAGGUUUGGGAGUGACUUGAUCCGAAGUCUCAUGAUCAAUAUCAUAAGCUUCCACUUUAAUUGGUGUAGGUGCCACAGGAACAACUCCUGUGCCCUGCCACACACUAGUUGAAGAGACGGUUCAAUAACCUCAUCAUGUCUCCACCAUCUUCCCACUCAAUUCUUUCGAGAGAAACUUUUCCUCGAGAAAGGACCUGAUUCUAGAAACAAUCCCUUAUUGCUGUCGGAUCUGAGACAGGAGGUAUACCCAACUGUUUUGGGUGUCCUAUGAAGAUGCAUUUAUCCGCUUUGGGUUCGAGCUUAUCAGCCUGAAACUUUUCACAUAAGCGUCGCAGCCCCAAACUUUUAAGAAAUGACAGCUUAGGUUUCUCUAAACCAUAGUUCAUACGGUGUCAUCUCAUCGGAAUUACGUGGUGCCCUAUUUAAAGUGAAUGCGGUUGUCUCUAAUGCCUAACCCAUAAACUAUCGUGAUAAUUCGAUAAGAGACAUCAUGGUAUGCAUCAUAUCCAAUAGGGUGUUGUUAUGAUGUUCGGACACACCAUCACACUAUGGUGUUCCAGGCUGUAUUAGUUGUGAAACAAUUUCCACAAUGUCUUAAUUCUGUUCCAAACUCGUAAUUCAGAUAUUCAUCUCUAUGAUCAUAUCAUAGAUAUUUUAUCCUCUUGUCACGACGAUCUUUCAACUUCACCCUGAAAUUACUUGAACCUUUCAAUAAUUCAGACUCGUGAUUCAUCAAGUAAAUAUACUCAACAUCUACUCAAAUCAUCUGUGAAGUAAGAACAUAACGAUAUCCACUACACGCCUCAGCACUCAUUGGACUGCACACAUCAAAAUGUAUUACUUCCAACAAGUUGCUUUCUAGUUCCAUUUUACUGAAAACGAGGCUUUAAAGUCAUCUUGCCCAUGUGGUAUGAUUUGCAUGUCUCAAGUGAUUCAAAAUCAAGUGAGUCCAAACGAUCCAUCUUCAUGGAGUUUCUUCAUGCAUAUAUGCCAAUAGACAUGGUUUGCAUGUCUCAAUAUUUUUUUUUUCAAAAACAAGUGAGUCCAAAGAUCCAUCAACAUGGAGCUUCUUCAUGCGUUUUAUACCAAUAUGACUCAAGUGGCAGUGCCACAAGUAGGUGGUACUAUCAUUACUAUCUUAUAUCUUUUGGCAUGAACAUGUGUAUCACUAUGAUCGAGAUUCAAUGAACCAUUCAUUUUAGGUGCAAGACCAUUGAAGGUAUUAUUCAAAUAAACAGAGUAACCAUUAUUCUCCUUAAAUGAAUAACCGUAUCACGAUAGACAUAAUCCAACCAUGUCUAUGCUCAACGCAAACACCAAAUAACAAUUAUUUAGGUUUUAAUACCAAUCUCGAUGGUAGAGGGAGCGUGCGAUGCUUGAUCAUAUCAACCUUGGAAACACUUUCAACACAUAUCGUCAGCUCACCUUUAGCUAGUCUCCGUUUAUUCCGUAGCUUUUAUUUCGAGUUACUAACACUUAGCAACCGAACUGGUAUCUAAUACCCUAGUGCUACUAGGAGUACUAGUAACGUACACAUUAACAUAAUGUAUAUCCAAUAUACUUCUAUCGACAGUCUUCUCAUCUACCAAGUAUCUAGGGUAAUUCUGCUCCAGUGGCUGUUCCCCUUAUUACAGAAGCACUUAGUCUCGGGUUUGGGUUCAACCUUGGGUUUCUUCACUAGAGCAGCAACUGAUUUGCCGUUUCAUGAAGCAUCCCUUUUUUGCCCUUGCCCUCCUUGAAACUAGUGGUUUCACAAACCAUCAACAAUUGAUGCUCCUUCUUGAUUUCUACUUUUAUGGUGUCAAACAUCGCGAAUAUCUCAAGGAUCAUCAUAUAUGUCCCUGAUAUAUUAUAGUUCAUCAUGAAGCUCUAGCGGCUUGGUGGUAAUCACUUCGGAGAAACAUCACUAUCUCAUCUGGAAGAUCAACUCCCACUCGAUUCAAAUGAUUGUUGUACUCAGACAAUCUGAGCACAAGCUCAACAAUUGAGCUUUUCUCCCUUAGUUUGCAGGCUAAGAAAAAUCAUCGAAGGUCUUAUACCUCUUGACGUGGGCACGAGCCUGAAAUCCCAAUUUCAGCCCUCGAAACAUCUCAUAUGUUUCACGAUGUUUCAAAACGUCUUCGGUGCCUCAACUCUAAACCAUUUAGCAUUACGCACUGAACUAUCAUGUAGUCAUCAAAACGUGUAUGUCAGAUGUUCGCAACAUCCACAGACGACGUUCGAGGUUCAGCACACUGAGCGGUGCAUUAAGGACAUAAGCCUUCUACGAAGCAAUGAGGACAAUCCUCAGUUUACGGACCUAGUCCGCAUAAUUGCUACUAUCAUCUUUCAACUAAAUUUUCUCUAGGAACAUAACUAAACAGUAGAACUGAAGCGCGAGCUACGACAUAAUUUGCGAAGACCUUUUGACUAUGUUCAGGAUAAUUAAGUUCAUCUUGUGAACUCCCACUCAGAUAGACAUCCCUCUAGUCAUCUAAGUGAUUACAUGAUCCGAGUCAACUAGGCCGUGUCCGAUCAUCACGUGGGACGGACUAGUCAUCAUCGGUGAACAUCUUCAUGUUGAUCGUAUCUACCAUACGACUCAUGCUCGACCUUUCGGUCUCUUGUGUUCCGAGGCCAUGUCUGUACAUGCUAGGCUCAUCAAGUCAACCUAAGUGUUUCGCGUGUGUAAAUCUGUCUUACACCCAUUGUAUGUGAACGUUAGAAUCUAACACCCGAUCAUCACGUGGUGCUUCGAAACAACAAACUGUCGCAAUGGUGCACAGUUAGGGGGAACACUUUCUUGAAAUUUUAAUGAGGGAUCGUCUUAUUUACUACCGUCGUUCUAAGCAAAUAAGAUGUAUAAACAUGAUAAACAUCACAUGCAAUCAAAUAGUGACAUGAUAUGGCCAAUAUCAUAUUGCUCCUUUUGAUCUCCAUCUUCGGGGCUCCAUGAUCAUUAUCGUCACCGGCAUGACACCAUGAUCUCCAUCAUCGUGUCUUCAUGAAGUUGUCUCGCCAACUAUUACUUCUACUACUAUAGCUAACGGUUAGCAAUAAAGUAAAGUAAUUACAUGGCGUUGUUCAAUGACACGCAGGUCAUAUAAUAAAUAAAGACAACUCCUAUGGCUCCUGCCGGUUGUCAUACUCAUCGACAUGCAAGUCGUGAUUCCUAUUACAAGAACAUGAUCAUCUCAUACAUCACAUAUAUCAUUCAUCACAUCCUUUGGCCAUAUCACAUCACAUAGCAUACCCUGCAAAAACAAGUUAGAUGUCCUCUAAUUGUUGUUUGCAUGUUUUACGUGGCUGCUAUGGGUUUCUAGCAAGAAUGUUUCUUACCUACGCAAAACCACAAUGUGAUAUGCCAAUUGCUAUUUACCCUUCAUAAGGACCUUUUUCAUUGAAUCUGAUCCGACUAAAGUGGGAGAGACAGACACCCGCUAGCCACCUUAUGCAACUAGUGCAUGUCAGUUGGUGGAACCAGUCUCACGUAAGAGUUCGUGUAAGGUCGGUCCGGGCCGCUUCAUCCCACAAUACCGCCGAAUCAAGAUUGGACUAGUAACGGUAAGCAUAUUGAACAAAAUCAACGCCCACAACUACUUUGUGUUCUACUCGUGCAUAGAAACUACGCAUAGACCUAGCUCUGAUACCACUGUUGGGGAACGUAGCAUAAAUUCAAAAUUUUCCUACGUGUCACCAAGAUCUAUCUAUGGAGUCAUCUAGCAACGAGGGAGGAGUGGAUCUACAUACCCUUGUAGAUCGCGCGCGGAAGCGUUCAAGAGAACGGGGUUGAUGGAGUCGUACUCGUCGUGAUCCAAAUCAUCGAUGAUCCUAGCGCCGAACGGACGGCACCUCCGCGUUCAACACAUGUACGGAGCAGCAACGUCUCCUCCUUCUUGAUCCAGCAAGGGGGAAGGAGAAGUUGAUGGAGAUCCACAGCACGACGGCGUGGUGGUGGAAGUAGCGGGAUUCCAACAGGGCUUCGCCAAGCGCUGCGGGAGGAGGGAGAUGUGUCAUGGGAGGGAGAGGGAGGCGCCAGGGCUUAGGUAUGGUUGCCCUCCCUUCCCCCCACUAUAUAUAGGGCCAAGGGAGAGGGGGCGCAGCCUUGGCCCUUCCUCCAAGGAAGGGUGCGGCCAGGGAGGAGUCCAUCCUCCCCAAGGCACCUCGGAGGUGCCUUCCCCCUUUAGGACUCUUCCUUUCCUUAUCUCUUGGUGCAUGGGCCUCUUGGGGCUGGUGCCCUUUUCCCAUGCAGGCCAAGGCGCACACCCCUACAGCCCAUGUGGCCCCCGGGGUAGGUGGCCCCACCCGGUGGACCCCCGGGACCCUUCCGGUGGUCCCGGUACAAUACCGGUGACCCCGAAACUUGUCCCGAUGGCCAAAAUAGCACUUCCUAUAUAUAAUUCUUUACCUCCGGGCCAUUUCGUAACUCCUCGUGACGUCCGGGAUCUCAUCCGGGACUCCGAACAACUUUCAGGUUACCGCAUACUAAUAUCUCUAUAACCCUAGCGUCACCGAACCUUAAGUGUGUAGACCCUACGGAUUCGGGAGACAUGCAGACAUGACCGAGAUGACUCUCCGGUCAAUAACCAACAGCGGGAUCUGGAUAUCCAUGUUGGCUCCCACAUGUUCCACGAUGAUCUCAUCGGAUGAACCACGAUGUCAAGGACUUAAUCAAUCCCGUAUACAAUUCCCUUUGUCUAGCGGUACGAUACUUGCCCGAGAUUCGAUCGUCGGUAUCCCGAUACCUUGUUCAAUCUCGUUACCGGCAAGUCUCUUUACUCGUUUCAUAACACAUCAUCCCGUGAUCAACUCCUUGAUCACAUUGUGCACAUUAUGAUGAUGUCCUACCGAUUGGGCCCAGAGAUACCUCUCCGUCACACGGAGUGACAAAUCCCAGUCUCGAUUUGUGCCAACCCAACAGACACUUUCGGAGAUACCUGUAGUGUACCUUUAUAGCCACCUAGUUACGUUGUGACGUUUGGCACACCCAAAGCACUCCUACGGUAUCCGGGAGUUGCACAAUCUCAUGGUCUAAGGAAAUGAUACUUGACAUUAGAAAAGCUUUAGUAUACGAACUACAUGAUCUUGUGCUAGGCUUAGGAUUGGGUCUUUGUCCAUCACAUCAUUCUCCUAAUGAUGUGAUCCCAUUAUCAAUGACAUCCAAUGUCCAUGGUCAGGAAACCGUAACCAUCUAUUGAUCAACGAGCUAGUCAACUAGAGGCUUACUAGGGACAUGGUGUUGUCUAUGUAUCCACACAUGUAUUUGAGUUUCCUAUCAAUACAAUUCUAGCAUGGAUAAUAAACGUUUAUCAUGAACAAGGAAAUAUAAUAAUAACUAAUUUAUUAUUGCCUCUAGGGCAUAUUUCCAACACCUGUGUCAGCCAAAGAUCAAUCAAAGACUACUUUUACAUGCCCUUUUGGUAGUUUUGCUUAUAGAUGUAUGCCUUUUGGUUUAUGUAAUGCACCUACUACCUUUCAAAGAUGCAUGAUGGCUAUAUUCCCUGACUUUUGUGAAAAGAUUUGUGAGGUUUUCAUGGAUGACUUUUCCGUCUAUGGAUCUUCUUUUGAUGAUUGCUUGAGCAACCUUGAUCGAGUUUUGCAGAGAUGUGAAGAAACUAAUCUUGUCCUGAAUUGGGAAAAGUGCCACUUUAUGGUUAAUGAAGGUAUUGUCUUGGGGCAUAAAAUUUCUGAAAGAGGUACUGAAGUUGAUAAAGCCAAGGUUGAUGCUAUUGAAAAGAUGCCAUGUCCCAAGGACAUCAAAGAUAUAAGAAGUUUCCUUGGUCAUGCCAGUUUUUAUAGGAGGUUCAUUAAGGACUUCUCAAAAAUCUCUCGGCCUCUGACUAAUUUAUUACAAAAAGAUAUACCAUUUGCCUUUGAUGAUGAUUGUGUAGAAGCAUUUGAAAUGCUUAAGAAAGCAUUGAUCUCUACACCUAUUGUUCAGCCACCUGAUUGGAAUUUACCCUUUGAAAUUAUGUGUGAUGCUAGUGAUUAUGCUGUAGGUGUUGUUCUAGGACAAAGAAUUGAUAAGAAAAUAAAUGUUAUCCAAUAUGAUAGUAAAACGACAAUGCUCAAAGAAAUUAUGCUACUACUGAAAAAGAAUUCUUAGCAGUUGUAUUUGCAUGUGAUAAGUUUAGACCUUAUAUUGUUGAUUCUAAAGUAACUAUUCACACUGAUCAUGCUGCUAUUAAAUAUCUUAUGGAAAAGAAAGAUGCUAAACCUAGACUUAUUAGAUGGGUUCUCUUGCUACAAGAAUUUGAUUUGCAUAUUGUUGAUAGAAAAAGAGCUGAGAACCCCGUUGCAGACAACUUGUCUAGGUUAGAAAAUGUGCUUGAUGACCCACUACCUAUUGAUGAUAGCUUUCCUGAUGAGCAAUUAAAUGUCAUAAAUGCUUAUCAUACUGCUCCAUGGUAUGCUGAUUAUGCUAAUUAUAUUGUUGCUAAGUUUAUACCACCUAGUUUCACAUACCAGCAAAAGAAAAAGUUCUUCUAUGAUUUGAGACAUUACUUUUGGGAUGACCCACAUCUUUAUAAAGAAGGAGUAGAUGGUGUUAUUAGACGUUGUGUACCUGAGCAUGAACAGGAACAGAUCCUACGCAAGUGUCACUCCGAAGCUUAUGGAGGACACCAUGCUAGAGAUAGAACUGCACAUAAGGUACUACAAUCUGGUUUUUAUUGGCCUACUCUCUUCAAGGAUGCCCGUAAGUUUGUCUUAUCUUGUGAUGAAUUUCAAAGAAUUUGUAAUAUUAGUAGACGUCAAGAAAUGCCUAUGAAUUAUUCACUCAUUAUUGAACCAUUUGAUAUUUGGGGCUUUGACUAUAUGGGACCGUUUCCUUCCUAAGUGGGUAGAAGCUAUUCCAACUAGUAGUGUUGAUCAUAACACUUCUAUUAAAAUGCUUAAAGAAGUUAUCUUUCCAAGGUUUGGAGUCCCUAGAUAUUUAAUGACUGAUGGUGGUUCACAUUUUAUUCAUGGUGCUUUCCAUAAAAUGCUUGCUAAAUAUGAUGUUAAUCAUAGAAUUGCAUCCCCUUAUCACCCUCAGUCUAGUGGUCAAGUAGAAUUGAGUAAUAGAGAACUCAAAUUAAUUUUGCAAAAGACUGUUAAUAGGUCCAGAAAGAAUUGGUCCAAGAAACUUGAUGAUGCGUUAUGGGCCUAUAGAACUGCAUAUAAAAAUCCUAUGGGUAUGUCUCCGUAUAAAAUGGUCUAUGGAAAAGCAUGUCACUUACCUCUCGAACUAGAACACAAGGCUUAUUGGGCUAUUAAAGAACUAAAUUAUGAUUUUAAACUUGCCGGUGAGAAGAGGUUAUUUGAUAUUAACUCACUUGAUGAAUGGAGAACCCAAGCCUACGAAAAUGCCAAGUUGUUUAAAGAGAAAGUCAAAAGGUGGCAUGAUAAAAGAAUACAAAAGCAUGAGUUCAAUGUAGGUGAUUAUGUAUUGCUAUACAACUCUCGUUUAAGAUUUUUUGCAGGAAAACUUCUCUCUAAAUGGGGAGGUCCCUACAUUAUCGAGGAGGUCUACCGUUCCGGUGCCAUAAAAAUCAACAACUUCGAAGGUACAAAUCCGAAGGUGGUAAAUGGUCAAAGAAUCAAACAUUAUAUCUCAGGUAAUCCCAUAAAUGUUGAAACCAAUAUUAUUGAAACCGUAACCCCAGAGGAAUACAUAAGGGACACUUUCCAGAACGUUCCAGACUCCGAAAAGGAAUAGGUAUGUGGUACGGUAAGUAAACCAACUCCAAAACAGUUUUUAAGGAAAUAAUUCUCCGUUUUGGAAUAUUUAAAAAAAUAGAAAAAUAAGCAGCAGUCCGGAAAGGACACGAGGGCUCCACGAGGGUGGAGGGCGCGCCCUACCCCCCUGGGCGCGCCCCCUACCUCAUGGGCACCUCAUGUGCUCUCCGGACUCCGUUUCCUUACAGGACACGUAUUUUGGUCGUAAAAAUUCAUUAUAUAACCUCCCGGGGGUUUUAACUCCCGUAUCACGCAAAUAUCUCUUGUCGUUGUUUUGAGUUGUCCUGCUGCGGACAGAGCAACAUGUCGUCCUAGGAUUCGCAAGGAGAAAGCUACGUGGCUGAUUACCAUGCAGAUCCUAAGGUUUAUGGGGAUGUGGAGCAUUGCGGUUGGACUACGGAAGAAGAAGAGGACUAUGAAUCCAAGGGAAAGGAGGAGACGAGCUCAGAUGAAGAUGAAGUCCCACUACCUCAACCUGGGGACAUGCAUGUGGAGUUCAAAAAGUCAAGCCUCCCGGAUAGGGUAAAGAAACCUAAGAUCGAGUUUAUCCCUUUUCGCCUCUUGCAGGAGAACAAACAGGAACUAUGCAAAAAGAUACUGAGCUUGGAGCAGGAGAUCGAGGACCUAAGGGACCAAAAUUCUGUCCUCAAGCGCAAAUUAAGGAAGAAGCCUACGCCAUCAACAAAAUCACUACCGUCUCCUCCAACAAAGAAGAAUUGAGUAUCUGGUAUGGGCACUCCACUUGGCAACUCCCAAGCUUGGGGGAGUGCCCCGGUAUUGUAUCACCAUCACUUUUAUCUUUACCGUUUUUCUUAGUUUGAUCCUUUUGGUAAUAUCUUUAUCUAGUAGAAUAAAAGUUCGUAGUAUGAUCUAGUUGUGAGUUUUGCUUUAUUAUCCUUCUAUGUAAUCGAGUCCGUGAGCUAUAUAAUAAAGAUUAGUGUUGAGUCAAGGGCUUGAUUAUUUUGCCAUGAUCCUAAGUGAAUAAAAGAAAAGAGAAAGAAACAAAAAGAAACAAAGAGAUCAUGUGACUCUUAUGGAGAGUAAUGAGCUCACAUAGAAAGAGUAUGAUGAAUAAAAGUUAUUGAGGGUUGACAAACAUAGUUUUGGUCAUUGUUGCAAUUAAUAGGAAGUAAUAAAGAAAGAGAGGUCUUCACAUAUAAAUAUACUAUCUUGGACAUCUUUUAUGAUUGUGAGCACUCAUUAAAAUAUGACAUGCUAAAGAGUUGACAUUGGACAAGGAAGACAACAUAAUGGGUUAUGUUUUCUUACAUCUGAGAUAAAUUAUAUUGUCUUGGAUCCUCCAACAUGUUGAGCUUGCCUUUCUCCCUCAUGCUAGCCAACUCAUUGCACCAAGUAGAGAUACCCAAAUACCCUUAAACCAGUUUUGCCAUGAGAGUCCACCAUAACUACCUAUGGAUUGAGUAAGAUCCAUCAAGUAAGUUGUCAUCAGUGCAAGCAAUAAAAAUAUUGCUCUCUAAAUAUGUAUGAUUGAUUGGUGUGGUAGAAAUAAGCUUUAUACAAUCGUCUGAUAUGGAAGUAAUAAAAGCGACAAACUGCAUAAUAAAGGUCCAUAUCACAAGUGGCAAUAUAAAGUGACGUUCUUUCGCAUUAGGAUUUUGUGCAUCCAACCAUAAAAGCGCAUGACAACCUCUGCUUCCCUCUGCGAAGGGCCUAUCUUUUACUUUUAUCUCCUAAAUUGCAUAAGAGUCAUGGUGAUAUUCACCCUUCCUUUUUACAUUUUAUCCUUUGGCAAGCACAAUAUGUUGAAAAGAUCCCGGUAUAUAUGGCUAAUUGGAUGUGAGUUUUCAUGAACUAUUACUGUUGACAUUAACCUUGAGGUAAAACGUUGGGAGGCAAAACUAUAAGCCCCUAUCUUUCUAUGUGUCCGAUUAAAACUCCAUACCCAUAAGUAUUGCAUGAGUUUCAGCAAUUGUGAAAGACUAUAUGAUAGUUGAGUAUGUGGACUUGCUGAAAAGCUCUUAUACAUCGACUCUUUCUUAUGUUAUGAUAAAUUGCAAUUGCCUCAAUGACUGAGAUUAUAGUUUGUUAGUUUUCAAUGAAGUUUACGAUUCAUACUUGAUAUUGUGAUUGAAUUAUUACUCUAGCAUAAGAUAUCAUAUGACAAGAAUUAUAUAAGUUGUUGUUCUAAGAAUGAUCAUGAUGCCCUCAUGUCCGUAUUUUAUUUUUAUCGACACCUUCAUCUCUAAACAUGUGGACAUAUUUUUCAAUUUCGGCUUUUCGCUUGAGGACAAGCGAGGUCUAAGCUUAGGGGGAGUUGAUACGUCCAUUUUGCAUCAUGCUUUUAUAUCAAUAUUUAUUGCAUUAUGGGUUGUUAUUACACAUUAUGUCACAAUACUUAUGCCUAUUCUCUCUUCUUUUACAAGGUUUACAUAAAGAGGGAGAAUGCCGGCAGCUGGGAUUCUGGCUGGAAAAGGAGCAAAUAUUAGAGACCUAUUCUGCAUAGCUCCAAAAGUCCUGAAACUUCACGGAUGAUGUUUUCCAAAUAUAUAAAAAACAUUGAGCGCAAGAACUUCAUGAGGGGGGGCACACCCCGCCCACGAGGGUGGGGGGCGCGCCCUACCCCCUGGGCGUGCCCCCUACCUCGUGGGCCCCCUGGUGGCCCUCCGGUGACCAUCUUCUGCUAUAUGGACUCUUUCGAUGGGAAAAAAUCAUAAGCCAUCUUCUCGGACGAAACUCCGCCGCCACGAGGCGGAACCUUGGCGGAGCCAAUCUAGGGUUCUGGCGGGGCUGUUCUGCCGAGGAAACUUCCCUCCCGGAGGGGGAAAUCAUCGCCAUCGUCAUCACCAACGCUCCUCUCAUCGGGAGAGGGCAAUCUCCAUCAACAUCUUCAUCAGCACCAUCUCAUCUCAAAACCCUAUCUCUUGUAUCCAAUUCUUGUCUCCAAGUCCGGGAUUGGUGCUAGUAGGUUGCUAGUAGUGUUAAUUACUCCUUGUAGUUGAUGCUAGUUGGUUUAAUUGGUGGAAGAUUAUAUGUUCAGAUCCUAUAUGCACAUUAAUACCCCUCUGAUUAUGAACAUGUUUAUGCUUUGUGAGUAGUUACUUUUGUUCCUGAGGACAUGGGAGAAGUCUUGCUAUUAGUAGUCAUGUGAAUUUGGUAUUCGUUCGAUAUUUUGAUGAGAUGUAUGUUGUCUCUCCUCUAGUGGUGUUAUGUGAACGUCGACUACAUGACACUUCACCAUUGUUUGGGCCUAGAGGAAAGCAUUGGGAAGUGAUAAGUAGAUGAUGGGUUGCUAGAGUGACAGAAGCUUAAUUAAACCCUAGUUUAUGCGUUGCUUCGUAAGGGGAUGAUUUGGAUCCGUAUGUUUCAUGCUAUGGUUAGGUUUACCUUAAUACUUUUGUUGUAUUUGCGGAUGCUUGCAAUAGAGGUUAAUCAUAAGUGGGAUGCUUGUCCAAGUAAGGGCAGCACCCAAGCACCGGUCCACCCACAUACCAAAUUAUCAAAGUACCGAACGCGAAUCAUAUGAGCGUGAUGAAAACUAGCUUGACGAUAUUCCCAUGUGUCCUCGGGAGCGCUUUACAUCGUAUAAGAGUUUGUCCAGGCUUGUCCUUUGCUACAAAAAGGAUUGGGCCACCUUGCUGCACCUUAUUUACUUUUGUUACUUGUUGCUCGUUACAAUUAUUUUAUUCCAAAACUAUCUGUUACCACUUAUUUCAGUAUUUGCAGAGAAUACCUUGCUGGAAACCGCUUAUCAUUUCCUUCUGCUCCUCGUUGGGUUUGACACUCUUACUUAUCGAAAGGACUACGAUAGAUCCCCUAUACUUGUGGGUCAUCAAUAGCCAGCUCAUAUUCUUCAUCACGCGCGACUGAUGAACAUGAAGACAUGGACGCACUACGACAGGCCCUACCUCAACAACCAACCCCAACAAUUCUGGCACUCCUUCAUUGACUCGGUGAUGAUAUUCUUUAGGGGCGUUAGUCCUCAUUUUUCGCCCCUUUUGGUCAUUCGAUGACAAAGGGGGAGAAAUUUGAGUUAGUCUUCAAGCGGGUCUACUUAUAUGGGUGUUGCUUCUAAGUUACAACUCUCGUUCUUUUGAAGACUUUGCUGGAUCAAGUUGUAAACUUAAAACCGAUGGUGGUCUGAUACUUUUGUUGUGUUCUUCUGCAUGCUUAUUCCUCAUAUAUGUUAAUGCACGCAUGCUGAAUUACAUCAGUCACCAUAUUUCAUCAUGCAUUUCAAAUUCUUCAUAUUAUAUGUUAAAUGCGUGUAUGAAUUACAAGAUAUAGGGGGAUAUCUCCAUGAUUCUACUCUUCAAGUGUGCAUUGCUUCAAAAGCUAAUUCCUCACUAUGCACAUCUUCAGGGGGCGUUCUUCUAUAUAUCUUGCAAUCAAAUUCCUCAAUAUUAGUAUUUACACUUCAUAUGUUUAUACCCAUUGAAAACUUAACCUAUAUUGUCAUCAAUCACAAAAAAGGGGGAGAUUGUAAGUGCAUCUAGUACCCCUUAGUGAUUUUGGUGUAUUAAAGACUUAUAGGUUAAGGGACUGAUAUGUUUGUGAGUGUACACAGGUCUAUAAGUCUAUGAGGAGUUUGAUAUUUACAGAGAGAGUCGACCCCUAAAAAUGAAGUUCUUCAACUAAAGACUUUGGAUUUCUGAAGACUUUUUGAAGACUUUGAAAGUGAAGAAAUUGGUGUGACCGUGAAGACUUGGUAUUCAUUUGAGGAACAUGAAGCGUUAAGACUUUUGUUUUCGUAGUUUCAUUUUCUCCUUCUUGACUCAUAGGAAACACCGUACUGUUAAAGGGGGUCGAGGAAAUAGUAAGGAAAAGUUUCCAAGUGAUGCUCAACUCAAAAUCCUACACCUACCAAUUCCUUAGAAUGAAGCCAUUGGAAAUCUCAUGCGGUUCAGUCAAAUUUCUUCAGUGGACGAGACGAAUUUCUUCUGGUCUCUGAGAAAUUUGUUCUGACUGAGGAGUUAGGAAUUCGCCAGUGCGGAUUGCCUACAAGUGAGGAACAUGAUAGCCUUGAGGAAUUUGAUAGUCAAAUUUCCGACCAUUGUUGUGCUACGCGCCAGCUGUCCCAAAAUAUCUUCCCACCUAACGGUCAUAUCAUUGAAGGGCAUUUAUGUCUUAUUAUGUUGGGCUGCUCCCUAGGCUAUAAAUAGCCGCCCCUACAACCACUAGCUGGUUGGCUGCUCCGAGAGAAACUGACACUUGUCAUUUGAGAGCAUCCCAUCCUCCGAGGACUUUGAGCGAAAAUCAUCAAGUGAGAAAAACCCAAACCCAAACACCUACUAACCCAAAGUGAUUGAGCAUCACUAAAGAGAUUGAUCCUACGUGGAUCUGACGCUUGUUACCUUUGAAGACUGUGCAUCUUCCAGAUGGUUAGGCGUCAUGGUCUAGAGCAUCCAAGAGGAAAUUGUGGAUCGCCAAGUGACUGAGUUUGUGAAGGUUUGGAAGUCACCUGAAGACUUACCACGAGUGAUUAUGCGAGGUCUGUGUGACCUUAGCUCAAGGGGAAUACGGUGAGGACUAAGUGUCCUGAACUGCGUGUUCAGGACUGGGUGUCCGGGACUGGGUGUCCUUAGGUUUGAAUACCUAGCCACCCUAACCAGACAUACAACUGUCACAACAGUUGGAACUGGUCUACCAAAUCAUUGUCUUUACCGAGCUAACUGGUUCUAUUUCCUCAACCCUUCCAUUUCCUCAUUUCUGUGUUGUGUGCUUGUUCAUAUCUGUUCGAAGACUUUGACUGAAGACUUUCUCAAAUUUCCUCAGUUCAAUUUCUUCAGUCUGUUUGUCUUCAUCAUGUUUUAUCCUGUGUUUACGCUUUCUGUACUCUGUGCUUGUUUUCAUUUCAUUAUGAUGACCAUGCUUAUGUUCUGUUAUGUUUGCAUCUGAGUACUUAUUUUGCUGCAAGUAGUUCUCCGCUUAGGAAUUUCCUCACCCUGAAAUUUCUCAGUGAAGAAUUCAUAAAAAUCGCCUGUUCACCCCCUCCCCUCUAGUCGACUUAACGCACUUCCAGUUAUUCCCUACUAGGCCACGCCUCUUGUAUGGGCCAGGUCUUCUUUGGCGAUGUAUCUACUUGUUUUAAUGAACUCGCAUGAGACUCUCUGCAUGGUUGAAAAAAAGGGAAAACCAAUGAACAAACCUUACCUUUUUUAAACGUUGAACAAAUCAGACUUGCCUUCACACAUACGUUGUCAGCAAAUGUGGUGGUUCAGAGAGAGAGAGAGGAGGGGGGAGAGAUAUGGUCCUUGUAGGGCAGAAAGCCAAGGGCAAGGACAUAAAUUGUAGCAAAUCUAAAUACAAAAGUCACCUUUAACCUGAUAUUUUCUUCCCACAUUUUUUAUACAUUUUCUCCUUUUUUUUAUCAUUUUGUACAUCUUAUACAAUUGUUCUGCAUAUUUUACAUUAAAAACUCAAUUAAUAAAGUAGGGCAAUGCCCCACUGUUUGCCCCUAAAAGGGGGGAAUAAUUCUCAUGUGGUGGGCCACGACCCACUGUAAGAUGCAGCCUACCACACAAGGCCAGACAACUCACAAAAUCACUAAUUAAGGAGUACUCUUUCCAAAGAUCAUUCCCACCUCCUUAGGUUGUGACAAGUGGCAUGCUUCAUGUGCGUCACUUUUCGCAACUUGGGAGUUUUCUUAUUUUUCGUACAUAUGUUUAUUCAAGACGUUUUAUCUCUUAAAUCGUGCGUCUAAAUCUCGAACCAUUUUCACUGUUGGAUUCCUCGCAUCGAGAUUUUCAAAACUAGAUAUCAUGUUGAUAGGUUUUGAGAAACUUUUUUCUGAAAAAAUUAAACGAAAAAACCGAACCUAGAGCACUUCUUUUCCUUUUCGAAAGCCGUUUCCAAGAGGCACAGUCGUGCCUCUUGCGGAAAAAGAAAAAGAGAAAACACGUUUUUUCCUGUUUCCGAGAGGCACGACCGUGCCUCUUGCGGAAUGAAAUACGUGUCUCUCACGAAAAAAAGAGAACGUGUUUUUCACAUUUCUAAGAGGCACGGCCGUGCCUCUCACUGACAAAAAAAAGAAAACGUGUUUUUAUCAUUUCCGAGAGGCACGUCGCGGAAGCAAAACCGCGCCUCUCACAAGAAAAAAAAAUAAAAAUGUGUUUUUUUGUUUCCGAGAGACACGGCCGUGCCUCUCGCGGAACCAACACCAUAACUCUCGUGGAAGCAAAACCGUGCAUCUUAAGAAAGCAAAAAACAUGUUUUUCAUGCAAAAAUUCAAAUAUUUUUGUCAAAAAGCUUAGAACGACCACUGGAAAGCCGAAAAAGUUAGAAAAACAAAAAAAAUCAUCUAAAAAACUGAAAACACGUGUGGCAAAAUAAAAAAACAGAGAGAGCAUCCAGGGUGCUCGUCAACUCGUCCUCCACAACUCACACACCUGGGCCAUUGACGGGCAUUUCCCGUUAACAUGCAUUUUUGUUAAUUGGCGCCGAAGGCACUCGAAUCUGGGCCGGCCCUUUUUAUUUGGGCAACGCUAGGCGCCGGCGCACCGGCCGAAAGUUUCGGCCGGUCCCGCCCCAGUCGUUUGAUCCGAGUCGCUUGGCCAAUGGAUCUGGGAAAAAAUGAUUCGCUCAUGUUUUCUUCUUCCUCGGGCUAGAUCUGCAACUCCCACUCAGGAUCCUCGUCGCCGUGCCUGUAGUCCCCUCCGGUGGUCGUCCUCGUCGCCGGCCGUCCUUGUGGUCGGUCCCCACCCUCGCCGGCCGUCCUCGUGGUCAGUCCCCACCCUCGCCGUCCGUUCUCGCCGUUGAAUAUGGAUGUAGUCAAAAACUACCUCAAUCCAUGCAACAGCUACGCCUGCGGUUGCAGCUCCACCGGCGACGGUUAUAGCUCUCUCCGGUUGUAGCUCCAUCGCGCCCCUCGCCGCUCGCUGCACGGGAUUGCGUCGGCGACGACCACCAGUCAGUCAACGCCAUUGAAUGGAUCUAGCAAAAAACUUCACUGGUAGUAGCAAAAAAACUAUGGAUGCAGCAAAAAUCAAACACCGUCGCCGUCUUCGCGAAGUCGCAACUCUGCCUUACAUGGAUGUAGCAAAAACCUUCAGCGGUAGUAGCAAAAAUCUACCACGGUUGUAGCAAAAAUUAGGGUUGUAGCAAAAACUUCACCAGUCAGUCAACGUCAUUGAAUGGUUGAAGCUUUUCAAAAUUAGGAUUGAAGCUUUUCAUGUCAACGGUUGUUGCUUUUUGUGCUUUUCAUAAUGUGGGAUGAAGCUUUUCAAUUCAGCUGUUGAAUCUUCCCAAUUCAGUGGAUGCAACAUUUUUGUGCUUCGAGUGCCCCAGCAACCAGCUUCUCCGUAUUUUCAGUUGAAGCUUUCCUGAUGCCGAUUGUAGCUUUCCAGGCCACCGGUUGCAGCUUAUGUUGUGGUAGUGCGCUGGCAACCAACAUCAUUAUCUGUCUUUUGAAAUUUUUGGUGUUGGCGGUUGAAGCUAUCUUGGCCACCGGUUGUAGCAUUAUGCGCUGUCGGAUGCAGCUUCUCUUGUGCGCAGUCAUGGGACGACGGUGCGGCCAUGGCGAAGAGCUCAGCCAUGGCGACGAGCGCGGCCAUGGAAUGGCAGCGUCGCCCCUCGGAGCACACGAACAGCACCGGAGGCCCGAGCGUUCCGCCGGCACACCGCGCGCAAAUAUUUCCCUUUUUAUUUCUAUAAACUUGCAAAACAGUAAAUGAUAGGCUUCGAACCUGCAAUCUCUUAGUUGGAAAGGAAGCCUGCUAACCACAACGACAUAUUACCAGCUGUGAUAGAGUUGCUUUUUUUACUCUUUAUUAGUAAGAUUUUUUUUUCUAGACGUUUUUGUUCCUAAUAUCUUUUUCUUUCUUUUCCCUAUUUUUCUUUUUUUCUUCAAUGCACAGAUUCUUUUUAAAUUAAUGAUUUUUUUCCAAAAUUGAUGAACCUUUUCUAAAAUCUAUGAACUUUUAUUCAAAUUCAUGAAAUUUUUCCAAUUUCGAGGACUUUUUUUCAAAUUGAUGAAGUUUUUCAGAUUUGUAAAUGUUUUGAAUAAAUUCGUUGAACUUUUUUCAAAUUCGACAGACUAUUAUUAAAAUAUGAUGAAUUUUUUUAAAAUUUCAAUGAACUUUUUUCAAAAUUGAUGAUUUUUUUCCAGAUUUGUAAUCUCCUUAGUAAAAUAGAUGAACUUUUUCAAAUUCGGUGAACUAAUUUUCAAGUCUGAUGAAUUUUGUUUUUAAAUUCUAUGAAAAAGAUUCAAAAUCGAUGAGCUUUUUUUUCAAAUCGAUGAAAUGUUUUUAAAAUUUGAUGACUUUUUUCAACUCGGUUUUAAAUAAAAAUUGUUGAACAUUUUUAAAAAAAUCUGAUGAACAUUUUUUCAAAUCAAUGAACCGUUUUUAAAAUGAAUGAACUUUUUCUUCAAAUGGAUGAAGUUUUUUUUUGAAAUUUAUGAACAUUUUAAAUAUUUAUGAACUUUUUUUCAGUUUCCAAACUUGUUUUCAAAUAAAUACUGAUCAAAUAGUUACAUUUUUCCUCCUAGUAGAACAACCAAGUGAGCUUGGUCCAGUGGUUGUUGUGCUAUUUGUUGAGAUAGGCGUCCCUAGCUGGAAUCCCAUUUCUUCCAUGGAACGAUUAGACUUGCUUUUUUUUCUUUGAUAGGGGCAUGUUGCUGGGCCGAACCGGUACACAUCGCAUUCGAGCGCCACCAACCUUAACCGGCGCUUAAAGCACCCAAUAGGAGCGUCCCCCAUUGACGUUACCCCGCAGCCCUUUCAUGUUCCUCUUUUCUUUUUCCACAUUAUUAGAUAACUUAGAGGGAAAAAGGAACUUAGAGAAUAAUCCUAAAAAACAGAGAUUAUAGAAUAUAUUUUACUAUUAAAAUGGGAGAAUAUAUGUGCUAAUUAUUAAAAAAUCCCUCAAGAAAAGAAGAAUAAUAGAUAUUUUUUCUCAAUAUCCUUUUGUUAGAUUUGUUGAGAAUUUGAUGUUUAGACUUUCAACUCCUAUCUAGUUUAGGAUUAUAUAAUGAUUAUUAAGCUUCAACAUAGUGGGUUUCAAAAAAGUUUUGUAGGAUAUUGUAUAAGUUGUAGUAAUCUUUUUCCUUUAUUAGCUACCUAAAUGUAUGUGUCAGUGAGCAUAUAUUGAAGUUUUUGUGGUGAAUGGUCUAUUGUUAUGUCAGUGAAUGGGAUCAGAAAAUGAGAAGCUCUCCCCUCAAAAAAAAGAAGAAAAAAAGAAGUUUUUCGAUGGUAUUUGCAUGCCUCAAUUUUGUAAGGCCGAAUCAUGAGACAUUUUUGCGAUGUAGAAGCGCCCUGGCCCGUGGUCUUGGUGACAUUGUGAAGACAUCUUCAAUGGUAUCCUGAAGCAUAUAUAGCGGUGGCAUCCCGUCGUCCAUCAUCUCUCCGGCAUCCUCUUUGUCGAACGUGCGUCUCGCUCGCCGCCUCAUGGCCUGCGACUUCGGGACACCCUUGUCGUGGGUCACGAUUGCUAUCGCAUGCGACGGGGAACUACAAGGCGGGGCAUGUAGUCCCUGUUGUUUCUUCAUAAACAGAAGCUCGUGCUUCCUCUGAUUUUUGGUGCGUCUGGUUCGCUGCUGCAGAACACGCUUUCUGAUUCAAACAAUAUCUAUCUAGUUAAAGAUGCACGAUCCACGUGUAAAAUGGGGCCGGUCUGCUCGCUUAAGUGCAUGCAUUGUUCCAUGGCGACCUGCUCUUACAUUUCAUCUGAAUUUCAUUGGGUCUUUUAGAUCAUGUCAAAUUCGACAAAGACAAGUUUGGAGCCUUUUCCUACUAAUUAUGCCACACUACACUUUGCCUGGAGUAGCAUUCCCCAUUUAUGUACAACUUUAGCUAUAUGUAAGUCGCUUGCAAAUAGAUUUUUGGUCAGUCGGUUUUUUUGGCCGAUGAUUUUCUGCUUUCAGAUCCGAGCUACUUUUUUCUUGGUCUAUUUUCUGAGCAGUUUUGGGCUGUUUUUUUACUGAUCACAUAUUUGGGUUGGUUGAUUUGCUACUAGGUCGACGCCCAUUACANNNNNNNNNNNNNNNNNNNNNNNNNNNNNNNNNNNNNNNNNNNNNNNNNNNNNNNNNNNNNNNNNNNNNNNNNNNNNNNNNNNNNNNNNNNNNNNNNNNNNNNNNNNNNNNNNNNNNNNNNNNNNNNNNNNNNNNNNNNNNNNNNNNNNNNNNNNNNNNNNNNNNNNNNNNNNNNNNNNNNNNNNNNNNNNNNNNNNNNNNNNNNNNNNNNNNNNNNNNNNNNNNNNNNNNNNNNNNNNNNNNNNNNNNNNNNNNNNNNNNNNNNNNNNNNNNNNNNNNNNNNNNNNNNNNNNNNNNNNNNNNNNNNNNNNNNNNNNNNNNNNNNNNNNNNNNNNNNNNNNNNNNNNNNNNNNNNNNNNNNNNNNNNNNNNNNNNNNNNNNNNNNNNNNNNNNAGUUUCUUUCCUUUGUGGGUAUUUUUGGGAUGUUGGGUGAGUGUAAAUGUAAACACACAAAUACUAUACAAUAUGUGCAAAAACCUACACUAUUAUAUGAUUGUUGUUUGCAUACUAAGAAAGUGCAAUUUUAGUGUAAAGUUGUGUGCCAGUUUGUUUAACCCUUUUUCAUUAUCUUUCUUCUUAAAGAGUAAUAAAAAUGUCAUUAAUUCAUUGUUGCAAAUAAAAUUUCAUUCUUUUGACUUUGAUUUAGUUAUUGUUUUAUUUUCUUUCUUCUUUAAGGGUAAUGCCAACACCACUAAUUCAUUCACUCUUAGAAACUUUUUUGUUGCGAUAAUUUCACUAUUACUCCCUCCGUCCCAUAUUAAGUAUCACUCAAACGGAUGUAUCCAGGCGUUUUUUAGUGCUAGAUACAUCCGUUUGAGCGACACUUAAUAUGGACGGAGGGGCUAUAUGCUUAUCCUUGCAUAUAAAAAAGGGGUAUUUUGGUGUAUAUUGUGUGCGAAUUUUGUCAUUGUUUGUAUUUUUUUUCAUUUUAUUUCUUCUUAAAGGGUUAUAUCAAUGCCACUAUUUGCUUCUUCCAUCGUAAACCUCAUUCUUUUGACUAUGUUUGAGUUCUUAUUUUGUUUGCUUUCUUCUUAAAAGAUAAUACUAAAUCCAUUAAUUCAUUUUUUUCUUAUAAAACUUCCUUAUUCUAUCUUUUGUAUUUAUUUAAUUUUCAUUCUUAGUUAACGGUAAUAUCAAUGUUAGAAAUUUAUUCCUUCUUAGGAAACUUCCAUUUUUUUGCGAAAAAAUCACUAUUAUAUUCAUAUUAUUGAAAACCCACAAUUUUUCUAUGUAAAUUGUGUGAGAAUUUUGUUUUUAUGUUUUUCAUUUGAUUUCUUCUUAAAAGGUACUCCCUCCGUCCGCAAAUAAGUGUACUUCUACCUUUUGUUCUAAGUCAAAGUUUUAAAAUUUUGACCAACUUUAUGGAAAAAAUUAGUAACAUAUAUGACAUCAAAUUGGUAUAUUAUGAAACUACAUUUCAUAAUGAAUCUAGUGAUCCUAAUUUAGUGCCAUACAUGCUGCUACUUUUCCCUAUAAAGUUGGUCAAAGUUUUAAAAUUUUGACUUAAGACAAAAACUAGAUGUACACUUAUUCGCGGACAGAGGGAGUAAUAGCAAUGCCACUAAUUCAUUCUUCCUUAAAAAAACUUCAUUAAUUCGAUCUUGUUUGAGUUUCUAUUUUAUUUCUUUCUUCUUUAAGGGUAAUUCCAAUGCCACUAAUUCAUUCCUUCUUACAAUUGUUUUUGCAAAAAAGUCACUAUUACAUGCUUAUUCUAGUAUAUAAUUAAAAAUCACAAUUUUUGUGUAAAUUGUAUGCAAAAUUUGUCAUUGUUUCUUUUAGUUUUUUUUAUUUUAUUUCUUCUUAGAGUGUAAUACUAAUGCCACUAUUUUUUUUAGAAAAUUCCAUUAUUUUGCUUUAUUUUUAAUUUUUAUUUCAUUUUUUUUCGUGUGUUAGACAGAUACAAGUACCAGAUUCAUGCACUGGACAGGAAGGGCAUGCAUGCAUGUGCGAGGGCUCGGCGAAGUGGGAUUGAACAAUGAGCAUGCAUACACUAGGUAGCAAUAUACCAGUCAGCCGACCGGCAGCACAUACAUACGAGAGUGGAGCCUAGCUAGCAGACAUGCCAAUGCAGAAAAAAAUGUGACUGACCAAAAUCAGAAUUCGGUCACCUAAUCUGUAACUGGUCUCUUUAUGUACGUUAGCAACAGUUAUGCCAAUGCAGAAGUAACAGUGACAAUUUUCACUGGUCAAGUCCGCGCUUUCUGCCAUGCCCAACAUCGCCAUCGCCGUUUUAAAACCCCCAAAGGGCUUUAUCAAGGAAACCGAGAAGGUCAGGUGGCGCUUUCUUUGGUUCCUGAUGAGAACCUGACCGGCAACAAGUGCAAAGUAAACUGGAAGACGGUGUGAUUGCCUGGAGAUGGGGGCGCUUGGCAUUCAAGACCUGUUAGCCGCUUCGCGUGAACUCUGCGCCUACGACGACUCUGGCUCUUUUGGCGCACCUCAGAUCGGCCCCGGGCUGCCUUGAAAUUGCCCGGACCGCGAGUUCUUUGCCUCGGCAACUAUCGUCAUUAUCCGCAAUCGUUGCUGCCCUGCUAAAAUUCAUAUUGAUUGCUGCCCUGCUCGGUAUGUCAGGCGAUGCCCAAUUUGUCCAAGCACUCCAUAAUAGAUCAGUAGUCGAUGUGCUGCACAAACACAAUUGGAUCAAGGACGUUCAACAUAAUAUAUCCGAUUAAGUUGUGAAGGAUUUUAUAUUCAUAUGGUGACUGCUAUUGUGCUCCAGCAUUCAUCUUGAUCAGGACAUCCCAUGCACAAUUUGAUGGAAGUUCAUCGAGUACCGUAACUACUCGACCAGCUCGGCUUACCACAUCCAACACACUGGGCUGCAACGGUCGAAUUUUCGAUGCAUUUUGUAGUCCGCAUGGGCCCCGCAGGGUACAAGUUUUUCCUUCAGUCGUUCCUUCUUGAUAGAAUUUGGUGCACGAAUCUGCUAAUGAGACGGCGACGCUGGCAAAAAAAUCUAUUCUUAAAAUUGCUUCAAGUCGGAGAGGCGUCGAGAGACUUCCAGCGAAAUCCACCAAAUCUCACCGUCGGCGAGCUCCCGCCGCCGGCGUCCGGCGUUCCUUCCACCUGGGGAGUAACCUCCUUCCUCUCCAGGGGCGGAUUCUAUUUGCGCAGGGUCUCCAGAGACCCAAAUCGCAUCCUGCUUCCUACCUCUGUUUCCUACCAAGGUAGGAUUUGCUUUCCUGUCUAAAAUUUCUAGCAAGAAUCAGCUGAUUCGGGGCAAAAAAGGGGAACCCGCUUGUGGAUCUGCCUGCUCUUGGUUGGCCUUUCUUGGUGGGGAUUGGUAGCAGGAUCUGACAUUGACUGCGAUUUUUGAGUUGUAGAAGAUGGCCAGCAGAGGCAAGCUGAUGUGGAAAUCAGAGUCAUCUAUAAGAGGUCUGGGUGCAGAAAAAGGGAAGAAUGCAGAUGAAGAAGUGACAGCAAAAUUCAGAAAGUUGAACCUGGCAGCUGGAGAGGAUGAGAAGCUGAUAAUGUCAGAUGAUGAGGAAGAUGAAGAUGAACCAAAAGUCUUCUCUGUUAUCGGUAAAGUCUUAUCUCCAAGCACUCUUCAAUUGCAGACUAUCAUGGGAGCUAUGAAACCAGCUUCGGGAAAUCCAAAAGGGCUAAGAGCAAGAAUGGUGGGGGAUAACGUAUUCAUUGUGGAUUUCAUGACGGAGGCAGACAAAGAGAGGGCACUAGAUGGAACCCCAUGGCUUGUAGGGCGCCAUGCAGUGCUCUUGAAAGAGUUUGAGAAGAAUCUUAGACCCUUAGAUGUGCGUUUUGAGUCAAUGCAUAUUUGGGUCAGGAUCAUAAACAUACUUUUUAAGUGGAUGAACAAAAAGAAAGGAUGGAAGGUAGCGGGUCUUGCAGGCAAAGUUGAUAAAUUAGAUGUUGACGAAUUUGGCGAUGCUGCAGGUAAAUAUCUUAGAGCAAGAGUGGAAAUCCCAAUUGAGAAACCAUUGAAGAGGUAUAUCACAAUUGAAACUUCAGAAGGUGAUGAAUACUACGAUCUACAAUAUGAGAAGUUGCCUUUCUUCUGCUUCUCAUGUGGCAUUAUGGGGCAUUCUGAAUUAGAAUGUCAAAACCCUUCAGGAAGAGAUGCAGAAGGUAAAUGGGAAUAUGAUAAUUCAAUAAGAGCCCCAGAAGAGAGGAGGAGGAGAAUUCAAUCCUUUGCACAAGCAGCGGCAACUUCAGAUUGGAGUGGAUCUUCAUACCGAAGUGAUUCUCAUUCCAGUUCUAAAGGAAAAUCCACGGAGCAAUCUAAUAGUCAGACCUUUGAGAAGGAAAAAUGUAUCCCAGGAGAAGUGUCGAGCCCUUCGGAGAAAAUGGGCAUAGGUAAGGGUGGAGGUGUCCAAAAUAGCAACACUUGCAUGACUCUUUUUACAAGUCAAGCUCAGGAUAUAAGUGUAACAUGAAGGAAGAGGAAGCCACUGAAAAACAGUAAUAACCGUCAACAACAAUCAGGCACUGUGGCAGAAAAAAAUUGGAUGUUGGAGAAUGAAGGAAACUUAGUGACAGUCCCUGUUCGAGGAAUAGAUGAAUUACCUAGAGAGUCCGGCCCAUCAAACCUUAUGGAGCUGGAACAAAGGGAUGCAGAGGGCGCCAAAAAACAAAAGAUGGAACUCUCCUUAUCAAAUGCACUAUCGGCGGAGGCUGCUUAUGUGGAGCAGCCCCGCCGGUCACAAUGAAAACCUUAUGCUUGAACUGCCGCGGGUGUGGGCAGCCCGAGGCAGUUCAGGAGCUCCGCCUUCUGGUGGAGCAGCAUAGCCCAGAAUUUGCCUUCCUCUCGGAGACAAAGAUGUCUGAAGAAAGAGCAAAGAAUCUGAGAUUUAAAUUGGGGUUUGAUAAUGCGAUAAGUAGUGAAGGGUUAAGUGGAGGACUAGUUCUCAUGUGGAAAAAGGGUAUUAUAGUGAGGGAACAAACCAAAAAUAAUUCUCACAUAGAUGUCACUGUCUUCAGGAGAACUUGGGAGAAGAAUGGAGAUUUACAGGCUUUUAUGGCCAACCACGAAGUCAAAAAAGGAAAGAAUCAUGGUAUUUGCUUCAAUUUCUAAGAUGUGCAAGUGAUUUACCCUGGCUAUGUGCGGGAGACUUUAAUGAAGUAUUAGAAGAAGAGGAGCAUUUUGGCUAUAAGGAGAGAGGGGAAUGGAGAAUGUCUGGAUUUAGAGAGGUAGUCCAAAUGUGUGGCCUCUCAGAUUUAGGCUAUACAGGGCUCCCAUAUACAUGGGACAAUAGACAAGAAGGAGGAAAGAACAUCAAAGUUCGGCUGGCUGGUGAGAAAUUUUUGCAGAAAUAUGGGGUUAUAAAAGUGUUACAUUUGCAAACCACAGAAUCUGAUCAUUGUGCAUUGCUAAUAGAUAUUGACCAACAACAGCAAGGCGAAAAGGUGAAAGCAAAGAAAAUGUUCCGGUAUGAAGACAUGUGGAGGAGAGAGCCGUGCUAUUAUGACAUAAUAAAGAAAUCUUGGUGGUGUAAAGGAGAAGGCCUGCAAGAUUUAAUGAAAUCCCUUUCAUUCAUGAAGGAAUCACUUCAAAGAUGGAGCUUUCAGACUUUUGGAUCAGUUAGAGGCCAGUUAGCACAACUGAGAAGUCAACUAGAGGAAGUAAGAAGAAGGAGCUGGCAGACAGGGCCGUCGUUAGUAGAAAGAAGUUUAAUGGGUCAAAUCUCAGAACUGCUAGCGAGGGAAGAGAUUAUGAUGCGACAACAAUCAAGAGUAGGUUGGCUUUUUGAAGGGGACAGGAAUACAUCAUUUUUUCACUCAAGAUGUAAGGAGAGGGCUAGACAAAACAGGAUCAAAUUCUUGCAGCGGUUAGAUGGAACAAUAUGUUAUAAUCAGAAGGAGAUGGAGGAAGAAACAAAUCAGUUCUUCAUAAAAUUGUUCAGUGCCCAGGACAACCUCUCAACGGAAGAGGUAAUAAACUAUGUACCUACAAAGGUUUCAAAUGAAUUGAAUGACAUGCUUUGCAGGCCAUUCUUGCAGGAUGAGGUUGAGCAGGCAUUAUUUAUGAUGAAGCCAAAUAAAUCUCCCGGUCUUGACGGAUUCACAGCUGGGUUCUACCAAAAUCACUGGGAUAUAUUGAAGCCUAGCAUUUGUGCGGCUGUUCUAAAAUUUCUGAAUGACGGUGAAUUACCAGAAGAGGUCAAUAAAACCAUUCUUGUUCUGAUUCCAAAGGUAAAUCACCCCCAAGACUUGUCUCAGUACAGACCUAUAUCACUUUGUAACGUCCUUUACAAAAUAUGCUCUAAAGUGCUAGCUAAUAGACUAAAAUUGGUGAUGGAUGAGAUUAUUUCUCUAGAGCAGAGUGCUUUCAUUUCAGGGCGAUUAAUUACUGAUAAUGUUUUAACUGCCUAUGAAUGCAUUCAUUACCUUAGAAAGAAGAAAGGGAAAAUAGGGGCAAGUGCCAUAAAAUUAGAUAUGGCUAAAGCCUACGACCGUGUCGAAUGGCAAUAUCUUCGAAAAAUCAUGUUAAAGUUGGGCUUCCACUCGGCGUUCGUGAAUUUAGUAAUGAGAUGUGUGGAAACAGUCAGUUUUUCCGUGAAAAUAAAUGGGCACUUGACAAAGUCCUUUAAACCAACAAGAGGUUUGAGGCAAGGGGAUCCCAUAUCUCCUUACCUAUUUCUCAUAUGCGCCGAAGGACUUUCUUGCUUAUUAAAUUUCAAGGGUCCUCAAUACUUGUCUAAAGGCAUUAAGGUGGGUAUCCACACUCCAUGGAUUUCCCACCUUCUAUUUGCUGAUGAUUGUAUUAUCUUUACUCAGGCAACAAAGCAAGCAGCAGAGAGAAUUCAGGAAAUUCUGAACAUCUAUAAUAAAGGCUCGGGACAAUUGGUGAAUAAAUCUAAAUCUGCUAUUUUCUUCAGCUCAAAUAGCACGGAUCAAAUGAAAGAAGAAGUAAUGCAUGCUUUAGACAUCAGAAGAGAAGCGCUUGAAGAGAAGUACCUUGGCCUCCCUACGGCCCUACGAAGAAGUACGACAGGAGCUUUUGAGAAGCUAUGCACAAGAGUAAGCAACAUGGCGGGAACUGGAUUAGAAAAGAGGUUAAGUUCAGCUGGACGAGAGGUGUUUAUUAAAGUGGUCAUGCAAGCAGUGCCACUGUACUCAAUGAGUUGUUUUAAUCUCUCAAAAACAACUUGCAAGAAGUUAACAACAUCAAUGUCGAGAUUUUGGUGGGGAGGAGAUGGAGAUAAGCAGAAAUUGCAUUGGAAGAAAUGGGAUGAAAUUGCCCAACCAAAAGGAGCAGGAGGCAUGGGGUUUAGAAAUCUCCAAUUAUUCAAUUUAGCCAUGUUGGGGAAACAAGGAUGGAGAUUGAUAACAAAACCAGAAUCACUAUGUUCACGUGUAAUGGCUGGGAAAUACUAUCAUGGUACAGAUUUCCUGAAUGCCAAAAAGAAAAAAGGCAGCUCGCAUGUUUGGCAAGCAAUUUUGAAGGGUAGAACAGUACUACAGCUAGGAUUAAUCAAAAGAAUAGGUGAUGGUCUAUCAACCAACAUAUGGAAGGAUCGGUGGAUACCAAGGAUUCCAGGAGGCAAGCCAAUAUUUAAGAGCGAAGAAGUAACUGUGGAGAAAGUUUCAGAGCUCAUUAAUGAUGAUGGAAAAAGUUGGAACAUUCAAAAAUUGAAUAGUAAUCUAUCUCCUAUGGAGGUAAAUGAAAUCCUUAAGAUUCCUUUGGGAAGGUUAGACCAAGACCUAUGGGCUUGGGGUGAAGAAAGACAUGGCAUCUACACUGUAAAAUCAGCCUACAGAGCUUUAGCAAAGCAGUUCAGGGCUGAAAGUCAACAUCAUCAAGGAGUUGCACAAAGUUCAACUAUUGAAGAGAAUAAGUUAUGGAAGAAACUUUGGAACUUGUCAAUUCCCCCCAAGGUAAAAACUUUCUGGUGGCGUGUUAUUAAAGGCUUCAUGCCUGUAAAGGCUAUAUCGAAAAAAAGACACAUCGAAAAAUUAAGUAACUGUGUUGAAUGUGGUGCAAAUGAAGAUACUAUCUUCCAUGCUUUGAUAGAAUGUUCUUAUGCCCGAGUUUUCUGGAAUUUGUUUAAAAAACUUUGUGGCAUUAAGCUUCCCAAACUACAUCACCUAACUUGGGCCCAAGACAUUCUAGAUGAUGAAGUAUGUGCAACGGAAAAGGCGGGAUAUAUUUUGUGUGGCAUGUGGUCAGUGUGGACAUCAUGAAAUAAUAGAAUUCAUGGAGAUUCCUCAACUAAUCUAACUCAAGCUUGCAGGUGGGCGCAUGACAUGGCAUCAGAUCUGAUGUUGAAUGCAAAACCACAAGGAGAAGGAACCAAAACUAAGACCAAGACAUACUGGCAACGUCCACAAGAAGGCUACUAUAAAAUUAAUGUAGACGCAGCCUUCAAUUCAAAGGAUGAAAAAGGAGCUUCAGGGGUAAUAAUCAGAGACGCUGAUGGCACUGUAGUAGCGGCGAGCAGUAAAUGGUAUGAUUCAGUCCCUGAUGUUUUAAUAGCAGAAGCUUUAGCUUGUAGAGAUGGAGCUAAGAUGAUGAAGAUUCUCAAUAUUCGGCAAGGAACAAUGGAGACUGAUUCUCAGGAGCUUGUGUCCUUUUGGAGAUCCAAAAAACAUCAUAGAGCUAGCAUCUUGUCGAUUAUCAAUGAAAUACAAGAGCUGGUAGAAGGAUGUAGUGGUUUUGAUAUUUACCAUGUUAAGAGGGAGGCAAAUAUAGCAGCUCACAAAGUUGCCAAAUUUGCUUCUGAAUCAAAUCCGGAGUGUGCCUAGAUACACCAGGUGCCGGAUAGCAUCCUUCGGUGUACUAGACAAGAUUGUAAUCAUGUUACUAGUUAAUGAUGAAGCUCUUGUUUGAAUCGCAAAAAAAAAUUGCUUCAAGUCAAACACACAUAACUUUGAGUUUUCUUACGAACGAGCAUCAAAAAAGAAUCUUUUAUCCGGCAGGAAUGUUCCCCCAUAGCACACUUCUAUGUGUGUCACUCUGGCCACACACGUCCCACAUGUUUGCGCCACUGACCCAUACACACUUGUGUAACCACGAAGGUCGGCACUGAUAUCAUUCUUACAAUUUUGUAACGACAUCGUACUGGCUACCGAGUAUAAGGCCACCAUGACUGGCUAUCACUCGGAAUCUAGACUAGCCCCACACACCAACACUAGUCUUCUCUUCGCAUUUUGUGCUCACUCGUCCAUACUGUUGGGGAACGUAGCAAUAAUUCAAAAUUUUCCUACGUGUCACCAAGAUCAAUCUAUGGAGUCAUCUAGCAACGAGGGAGGAGUGGAUCUACAUACCCUUGUAGAUCGCGCACGGAAGCGUUCAAGAGAACGGGGUUGAUGGAGUCGUACUCGUCGUGAUUCAAAUCACCGAUGAUCCUAGCGCCGAACGGACGGCACCUCCGCGUUCAACACACGUACGGAGCAGCGACGUCUCCUACUUCUUGAUCCAGCAAGGGAGAAAGGAGAGGGUGAUGGAGAUCCAGCAGCACGACGGCAUGGUGAAAGUAGCGGGAUUCCAACAGGGCUUCGCCAAGCGCUGCGGGAGGAGGGAGAUGUGUCAUGGGAGGGAGAGGGAGGCGUCAGGGCUCAGGUAUGGUUGCCUUCCCUUCCCCCCACUAUAUAUAGGGCCAAGGGAGAGGGGGAGGGCGCAGCCUUGCCCCUUCCUCCAAGGAAGGGUGCGGCCAAGGGGGGGAGGAGUCCAUCCUCCCCAAGGCACCUCGGAGGUGCCUCCCCCUUUAGGACUCUCCCCUCCUCUUGUCCCUUUGGCGCAUGGGCCUCUAGGGGCUGGUGCCCUUGGCCCAUGUAGGCCAAGGCGCACCCCCUACAGCCCAUGUGGCCCCCCGGGGCAGGUGGCCCCACCCGGUGGACCCCCGGGACCCUUCCGGUGGUCCCGGUACAAUACCGGUGACCCCGAAACUUGUCCCGAUGGCCGAAAUAGCACUUCCUAUAUAUAAUUCUUUACCUCCGGACCAUUCCAGAACUCCUCGUGACGUCCGGGAUCUCAUCCGGGACUCCGAACAACUUUCGGGUUACCGCAUAAUAAUAUCUCUAUAACCCUAGCGUCACCGAACCUUAAGUGUGUAGACCCUACGGGUUCGGGAGACAUGCAGACAUGACCGAAACGACUCUCCGGUCAAUAACCAACAGCGGGAUCUGGAUACCCAUGUUGGCUCCCACAUGUUCCACGAUGAUCUCAUCGGAUGAACCACGAUGUCAAGGAUUCAAUCAAUCCCGCAUACAAUUCCCUUUGUCUAUCGGUACAAUACUUGCCCGAGAUUCGAUCAUCAGUAUCCCGAUACCUUGUUCAAUCUCGUUACCGGCAAGUCUCUUUACUCGUUCCGUAACACAUCAUCCCGUGAUCAACUCCUUGAUCACAUUGUGCACAUUAUGAUGAUGUCCUACCGAGUGGGCCCAGAGAUACCUCUCCGUUUACACGGAGUGACAAAUCCCAGUCUCGAUUCGUGCCAACCCAACAGACACUUUCGGAGAUACCCGUAGUGUACCUUUAUAGCCACCCAGUUACGUUGUGACGUUUGGCACACCCAAAGCACUCCUACGGUAUCCGGGAGUUGCACAAUCUCAUGGUCUAAGGAAAUGAUACUUGACAUUAGAAAAGCUUUAGCAUACGAACUACAUGAUCUUUGUGCUAGGCUUAGGAUUGGGUCUUGUCCAUCACAUCAUUCUCCUAAUGAGGUGAUCCCGUUAUCAACGACAUCCAAUGUCCAUGGUCAGGAAACCGUAACCAUCUAUUGAUCAACGAGCUAGUCAACUAGAGGCUUACUAGGGACAUGGUGUUGUCUAUGUAUCCACACAUGUAUCUGAGUUUCCUAUCAAUACAAUUCUAGCAUGGAUAAUAAACGAUUAUCAUGAACAAGGAAAUAUAAUAAUAACUAAUUUAUUAUUGCCUCUAGGGCAUAUUUCCAACAGUCUUCCACUUGCACUAGAGUCAAUAAUCCAGUUCACAUCGAUAUGUGAUUAACACUCAAGGUCACAUCCCCAUGUGACUAACACCCAAAGAGUUUACUAGAGUCAAUAAUCCAGUUCACAUUACUAUGUGAUUAACACUCGAUGAGUUCUGGUUUUGAUCAUGUUAUGCUUGUGAGAGAUGUUAUAGUCAACGGGUCUGAAUCUUUCAGAUCCGUAUGUACUUCGCAAAUUUCUUAUGUCAUCUUGUAGAUGCAACUACUACGCUAUAUUUGGAGCCAUUUGAAAUAACUGUUCUACUAUACGAAUCCAGUUUACUACUCAGAAUAAUCUGGAUUAGUGUCAAAGUUUGCAUCGGCGUAACCCUUUACGACGAACUCUUUUACCACCUCCAUAAUCGAGAAAAUUCCUUAGUCCACUAGUUACUAAGGAUAACUUUGACCGCUGUCCUGUGAACCAUUCUUGGAUCACUCUUGUACCCCUUGACUGACUAUGGCAAGGCACACUUCAGGUGCGGUACACAGCAUAGCAUAUGUAGAGCCUACGUCUUAAGCAUAGGGGACGACCUUCGUCCUUUCUCUCUAUUCUGCCGUGGUCGAGCUUCAUACCUUACAACUCAGGCAAGAACUCCUUCUUUGACUGAACCAUCUUAAACACCUUCAAGAUCAUGUCAAGGUAUGUGCUCAUUUGAAAGUACCAAUAAGCGUUUUGAUCUAUCCUUAUAGAUCUUGAUGCUCAAUGUUCAAGUAGCUUAAUCCAGGCUUUCCAUUGAAAAACACUUUCCAAAUAACCCUAUUUUCUUUCCAGAAAUUCUACGUCAUUUCUAAUCAACAAUAUGUCAACAACAUAUAUUUAUCAGAAAUUCUAUAGUGCUCCCACUCACUUCUUUGGAAAUACAAGUUUCUCAUAAACUUUGUAUACACCCAAAAUCUUUGAUCAUCUCAUCAAAGCGUACAUUCCAACUCCGAGAUGCUUACUCCAGUCCUUAGAAGGAUUGCUGGAGCUUUGCAUACUUAUUAGCAUCUUUCAGGAUUGACAAAACCUUCCGGUUGUAUCACAUACAACCUUUCCUCAAGAAAAUCGUCGAGGAAACAAUGUUUUGACAUCCUAUCUGCAAGAUUUCAUAAAUAAUGCAGUAAUCGCUAAUAUAAUUCCAAUAGACUCUUAGCAUCGCUACGAGUGAGAAAGUCUCAUCAUAGUCAACUCCUUGAACUUGUCAGAAAAAAUCUUAACGACAAGUCGAGAUUUCUUAAUGGUGAUACUUACCAUCAUUGUCCUUCUUCCUUCUAAAAUCCAUCUGCACUCAACAGCCUUAUGACCAUCGAGCUGUUCUGUCAAAGUCUACACUUUGUUUCCAUACAUGGAUCCUCUCUCGGAUUUUAUGGCCUCGAGCCAUUUAUCGGAAUCCGGGCCCACCAUCGCUUCUCCAUGGCUCGUAGGUUCAUUGUUGUCUAGCAACAUGACUUCCAAGACAGGAUUACGUACCACUCUGAAGUAGUACGCAUCCUUGUCAUCCUACGAGGUUUGGUAGUGACUUGAUCUGAAGUUUCAUGAUCACUAUCAUAAGCUUCCACUUCAAUUGGUGUAGGUGCCACAGGAACAACUUCCUGUGCCCUGCCACACACUAGUUGAAGAGACGGUUCAAUAACCUCAUCAAGUCUCCAUCAUCCUCCCACUCAAUUCUUUCGAGAGAAACUUUUCCUCGAGAAAGGACCCGAAUGUAGAAACAAUCCCUUAUUGCUUUCAGAUCUGAGACAGGAGGUAUACCCAACUGUUUUGGGUGUCCUAUGAAGAUGCAUUUAUCCGCUUUGGGUUCGAGCUUAUCAGCCUGAAACUUUUCCACAUAAGCGUCGCAGCCCCAAACUUUUAAGAAAUGACAGCUUAGGUUUCUCUAAACCAUAGUUCAUACGGUGUCAUCUCAUCAGAAUUACGUGGUGCCCUAUUUAAAGUGAAUGUGGUUGUCUUUAAUGCCUAACCCAUAAACUAUUGUGGUAAUUCGAUAAGAGACAUCAUGGUAUGCAUCAUAUCCAAUAGGGUGCAGUUAUGAUGUUCGGACACACCAUCACACUAUGGUGUUCCAGGCUGUAUUAGUUGUGAAACAAUUUCCAUAAUGUCUUAAUUCUGUGCCAAACUCGUAAUUCAGAUAUUCAUCUCUAUGAUCAUAUCAUAGAUAUUUUAUCCUCUUGUCACGACGAUCUUUCAACUUCACCCUGAAAUUACUUGAACCUUUCAAUAAUUUAGACUCGUGAUUCAUCAAGUAAAUAUACUCAAGAUCUACUCAAAUCAUCUGUGAAGUAAGAACAUAACGACAUCCACUACAUGCCUCAACACUCGGACUGCACACAUCAAAAUGUAUUACUUCCAACAAGUUGCUUUCUAGUUCCAUUUUACUGAAAACGAGGCUUUCAGUCAUCUUGCCCAUGUGGUAUGAUUUGUGUGUCUCAAGUGAUUCAAAAUCAAGUGAGUCCAAACGGUCCAUUUGCAUGGAGUUUCUUCAUGCAUAUACACCAAUAGACAUGGUUCGCAUGUCUCAAACUUUUCAAAAAUGAGUGAGUCCAAAGAUCCAUCAACAUGGAGCCUCUUCAUGCGUUUUAUACCGAUAUGACUUACGUGGCAGUUCCACAAGUAGGUGGUACUAUCAUUACUAUCUUUUGGCAUGAACAUGUGUAUCACUACGAUCGAGAUUCAAUGAACCAUUCAUUUUAGGUGCAAGACCAUUGAAGGUAUUAUUCAAAUAAACAGAGUAACCAUUAUUCUCCUUAAAUUAAUAACCGUAUUGCGAUAGACAUAAUCCAAUUAUAUCUAUGCUCAACGCAAACACCAAUCUCAAUGGUAGAGGGAGCGAGCGAUGCUUGAUCAUAUUAACAUUGGAAACACUUCCAACACAUAUCGUCAGCUCACCUUUAGCUAGUCUCUGUUUAUUCCGUAGCUUUUAUUUCGAGUUACUAACACUUAGCAACCGAACCGGUAUCUAAUACCCUGGUGCUACUAGGAGUACUAGUAAAGUACACAUUAACACAAUGUAUAUCCAAUAUACUUCUAUCGACUUUGCCAGCCUUCUCAUCUACCAAGUAUCUAGGGUAAUUCUGCUCCAGUGGUUGUUCCCCUUAUUACAGAAGCACUCAGUCUCAGGUUUGGGUUCAACCUUGGGUUUCUUCACUAGAGCAGCAGCUGAAUUGUCGUUUCAUGAAGUAUCCCUUUGUUCCCUUGCCCUUCUUGAAACUAGUGGUUUCACCAACCAUCAACAAUUGAUGCUCCUUCUUGAUUUCUACUUUUGUGGUGUCAAACAUCGCGAAUAUCUCAAGGGUCAUCAUAUAUGUCACUGAUAUAUCAUAGUUCAUCACGAAGCUCUAGCAGCUUGGUGGUAAUGAUUCGGAGAAACAUCACUAACUCAUUUGGAAGAUCAACUCCCACUCGAUUCAAAUGAUUGUUGUACUCAGACAAUCUGAGCACAAGCUCAACAAUUGAGCUUUUCUCCCUUAGUUUGCAGGCUAAGAAAAUCGUCGGAGGUCUUAUACCUCUUAACGUGGGCACGAGUCUGAAAUCCCAAUUUCAGUCCUUGAAACAUCUCAUAUGUUCUGCGAUGUUUCAAAAACGUCUUUGGUGCCUCAAUUCUAAACCAUUUAGCAUUACGCACUGAACUAUCAUGUAGUCAUCAAAACGUGUAUGUCAGAUGUUCGCAACAUCCACAGACGACGUUCGAGGUUCAGCACACUGAGCGGUGCAUUAAGGACAUAAGCCUUCUAUGAAGCAAUGAGGACAAUCCUCAGUUUACGGACCUAGUCCGCAUAAUUGCUACUAUCAACUUUCAACUAAAUUUUCUCUAGGAACAUAUCUAAACAGUAGAACUGAAGCGCGAGCUACGACAUAAUUUGCGAAGACCUUUUGACUAUGUUCAGGAUAAUUAAGUUCAUCUUAUGAACUCCCACUCAGAUAGACAUCCCUCUAGUCAUCUAAGUGAUUACAUGAUCCGAGUCAACUAGGCCGUGUCCGAUCAUCAUGUGAGACGGACUAGUCAACAUCGGUGAACAUCUUCAUGCUGAUCGUAUCUACCAUACGACUCAUGCUCGACCUUUCGGUCUUCUGUGUUCUGAGGCCAUGUCUGUACACAUGCUAGGCUCGUCAAGUCAACCUAAGUGUUUCGCGUGUGUAAAUCUGUCUUACAUCCAUUGUAUGUGAACGUUAGAAUCUAUCACACCCGAUCAUCACGUGGUGCUUCGAAACAACAAACUGUCGCAACGGUGCACAGUUAGGGGGAACACUUUCUUGAAAUUUUAAUGAGGGAUCAUCUUAUUUACUACCGUCGUUCUAAGCAAAUAAGAUGUAUAAACAUGAUAAACAUCACAUGCAAUCAAAUAAUAGUGACAUGAUAUGGCCAAUAUCAUAUAGCUCCUUUGAUCUCCAUCUUGGGGCUCCAUGAUCAUCUUGUCACCGGCAUGACACCAUGAUCUCCAUCAUCAUGAUCUCCAUCAUCGUGUCUUCUGAAGUUGUCUCGUCAACUAUUACUUCUACUACUAUAGCUAACGGUUAGCAAUAAAGUAAAGUAAUUACAUGACGUUUAUGUUGACACGCAGGUCAUAAAUAAAUUAAGACAACUCCUAUGGCUCCUGCCAGUUGUCAUACUCAUAGACAUGCAAGUCGUGAUUCCUAUUACAAAAACAUGAUCAAUCUCAUACAUCACAUAUAUCAUUCAUCACAUCCUUUGGCCAUAUCACAUCACAUAGCAUAUCCUGCAAAAACAAGUUAGACGUCCUCUAAUUGUUGUUUGCAUGUUUUACGUGGCUGCUAUGGGUUUCUAGCAAGAACGUUUCUUACCUACGCAAAGACCACAACGUGAUAUGCCAAUUGCUAUUUACCCUUCAUAAGGACCCUUUUCAUCGAAUCCGAUCCGACUAAAGUGGGAGAGACAGACACCCGCUAGCCACCUUAUGCAACUAGUGCAUGUCAGUCGGUGGAACCAGUCUCACGUAAGAGUACGUGUAAGGUCGGUCCGGGCCGCUUCAUCCCACAAUACCGCCGAAUCAAGAUUGGACUAGUAACGGUAAGCAUAUUGAACAAAAUCAACACCCACAACUACUUUGUGUUCUACUCGUGCAUAGAAACUACGAUCUACCUAGCUCAUGAUGCCACUGUUGGGGAACGUAGCAAUAAUUCAAAAUUUUCCUACGUGUCACCAAGAUCAAUCUAUGGAGUCAUCUAGCAACGAGGGAGGAGUGGAUCUACAUACCCUUGUAGAUCGCGCGCGGAAGCGUUCAAGAGAACGGGGUUGGUGGACUCGUACUCGUCGUGAUUCAAAUCACCGAUGAUCCUAGCACCGAACGGACGGCACCUCCGCGUUCAACACACGUACGGAGCAACGACGUCUCCUCCUUCUUGAUCCAGCAAGGGGGAAAGGAGAGGGUGAUGGAGAUCCAGCAGCACGACGGCAUGGUGGAAGUAGCGGGAUUCCAACAGGGCUUCGCCAAGCGCUGCGGGAGGAGGGAGAUGUGUCAUGGGAGGGAGAGGGAGACGCCAGGGCUCAGGUAUGGUUGCCCUCCCUUCCCCCCACUAUAUAUAGGGCCAAGGGAGAGGGGGAGGGCGCAGCCUUGCCCCUUCCUCCAAGGAAGGGUGCGGCCAAGGGGGGAGGAGUCCAUCCUCCCCAAGGCACCUCGGAGGUGCGUUCCCCCUUUAGGACUCUCCCCUCCUCUUGUCCCUUUGGCGCAUGGGCCUCUAGGGGCUGGUGCCCUUGGCCCAUGUAGGCCAAGGCGCACCCCCUACAGCCCAUGUGGCCCCCCGGGGCAGGUGGCCCCACCCGGUGGACCCCCGGGACACUUUCGGUGGUCCCGGUACAAUACCGGUGACCCCGAAACUUGUCCCGAUGGCCGAAAUAGCACUUCCUAUAUAUAAUUCUUUACCUCCGGACCAUUCCGGAACUCCUCGUGACGUUCGGGAUCUCAUCCGGGACUCCGAACAACUUUCGGGUUACCACAUACUAAUAUCUCUAUAACCCUAGCGUCACCGAACCUUAAGUGUGUAGACCCUACGGGUUUGGGAGACAUGCAGACAUGACCGAGACGACUCUCCACAUGUUGGCUCCCACAUGUUCCACGAUGAUCUCAUCGGAUGAACCACGAUGUCAAGGAUUCAAUCAAUCCCGCAUACAAUUCCCUUUGUCUAUCGGUAUGAUACUUGCCCGAGAUUCGAUCGUCGGUAUCCCGAUACCUUGUUCAAUCUCGUUACCGGCAAGUCUCUUUACUCGUUCCGUAAUACAUCAUCCCGUGAUCAACUCCUUGAUCACAUUGUGCACAUUGUGAUGAUGUCCUACCGAGUGGGCCCAGAGACACCUCUUCGUUUACACGGAGUGACAAAUCCCAGUCUCGAUUCGUGCCAACCCAACAAACACUUUCGGAGAUACCCGUAGUGUACCUUUAUAGCCACCCAGUUACGUUGUGACGUUUGGCACACCCAAAGCACUCCUACGGUAUCCGGGAGUUGCACAAUCUCAUGGUCUAAGGAAAUGAUACUUGACAUUAGAAAAGCUUUAGCAUACGAACUACAUGAUCUUUGUGCUAGGCUUAGGAUUGGGUCUUGUCCAUCACAUCAUUCUCCUAAUGAGGUGAUCCCGUUAUCAACGACAUCCAAUGUCCAUUGUCAGGAAACCGUAACUAUCUAUUGAUCAACGAGCUAGUCAACUAGAGGCUUACUAGGGACAUAGUGUUGUCUAUGUAUCCACACAUGUAUCUGAGUUUCCUAUCAAUACAAUUCUAGCAUGGAUAAUAAACGAUUAUCAUGAACAAGGAAAUAUAAUAAUAACUAAUUUAUUAUUGCCUCUAGGGCAUAUUUCCAACACAUAUUGGGAUCAACUUCCCCGUCGGUCCCACCGUCAGAUUUCUCCAAGUCAAACAUGCUUAAUUUUGAGAUUCUUUUGUGUAUGGAUACCUAGAAAAGAAGGAAUUGCUUCUCGAUAUGAGUAAUCUAUCAGUCCUAUAAACCUGGAUGUUAUAGGAAGGUUGCAGCUCGCUCUCAUGUGAUCACUGGAAGCAUUUGGGUUCUUCCAAGGAGAUUUGGUGUUGCAUCAUAGGCAAGGGCCAACGGCACAUGGGGAUGCUAUCACUCUUGAUGCUGUUUUCUUGGGAGAUUUGGCUUGAAAGAAAUAGAUAUUUUCCGCAAUUAAACCCUGCCGAUUAGAGAGAUGGCGGCAUCGAGGAGAUCGCCAUGGUGUAUUGGCCUCUAGCAAGAGCUAAAAUUUAGAAAUUAACUGUUUUUGAGGACCCGGGGUGAAACCUUGAAAGAUUCAUGUUGUGUUCAGGCUUCGUAUUCUUCUCUUACUUUCUUCUCGCUUCUCUCUUUAUUUCCUACUUGUCAUGGCUGUAACCAUGUAAUUAUUCUACCUGUUUGUCAAUGAAAUGCCUACAAUUAGCUUUGUUUGACACAAGAAACGACUUGUGGCAUGGUCUGUCCCAGCCGCAACUGUCGUGGAACCUCCCGCACAUCACGAACACAACCGGAGCUUAGAGCAUCUCCAACAGGCGCCGGUCGCACCGCGCGCAAAAAACACGUAUGCCGCGCGCGCAUCGUCUGGUUUGACGCGGCGCGCAGCGCUGACUCCAGCAGCCGCGCUAAAAUAUAGCGCGCGCGAGUCGCACAAACAACUUAUGCAUUCAAAAACAAAAGCAAAAAAUCAAAAACAAACAAAAAUAAAUAGUUCAAUUUCGUUUAUUACAACUCAAACAAACAGUUUAUCGUUCAAUACAACAAAUAGUGCAAUUAAACACAACAAAUAGUUCAACAAUACAAUAACGAACGCAUAAAUCAUGAUGCACUUUGUCGUCCAUUCCAUGCCCACCACUCCUCAAUGAGAUCCUUCUGAAGAUCAUUAUGCGCUGCAGGACGUCGAAUGGCAUGAUGGGAGGCAACAAAACGGGCGACCCUUUCAGCCCUCCGUCGCACUCGCACGGAAUAUCCUAAGAGCUCAUACUGAGAGUAGUCUACAUCUUGGCCACGCUCAUUCUCGAUGAUCAUGUUGUGCAUGAUCACACAAGCGUGCAUUAUGUACCAAAGCAUCUUUUGAUCCCAAAAUCUAGCCGGUCCUCUCACAAUAGCAAAUUGGGCUUGCAAAAUCCCAAAGGCUCUCUCCACAUCUUUUCUAGCCGCCGCCUGAGCAUUGUGGGAAUCAAGUUUUUUCUUACCUUCUGGCUUUUUCAACGGCUUGACAAAGGUUUGCCACUUUGGAUAGAUGUCAUCCGCUAGAUAAUAGCCAUAGUUGUAUGUACGGCCAUUUGCUACAAACUGCACCGGUGGCAACUCCCCAUUUGCAAUCUUACUCAUCAGUGGUGACCGGUUGACAACAUUGAUGUCAUUCAAAGAUUCAUGCAUUUCAAAGAAUGCAUGCCAAAUCCAAGUCUCUUGAUCGGCCACCGCUUCAAGGAUUAUAGUGGAAUCCUUUUUUUGGCCGUGGAAUUGCACAUGCCAUGCCUUUGGACAAUUCUUCCAAGUCCAAUGCAUGCAAUCUAUUAAGCCAAGCAUGCCAGGAAAGCCGCGAGCUUUGUUCAUCGCUAAAAGCCUUGCGACGUCUUCAGCGUUGGGAGAUCUCAAAUACUCCUCGCCAAACACUUGCACAAUUUCGACAGCAAAGCGCUUGACACACAUGAUGGAUUGGCUCUCACCCAUAGCCAAGUGAUCAUCAACUAGAUCAGCCGGUAUACCGUAUGCCAACAUACGCAAAGCGGCUGUCACCUUCUGAAAGGUGCUAUGCCCGAGCUCUCCGGCGGCAUUCCUCCUUUGCCGAAAAAAGCGGUCAUGGCUUGCUAGUUUCUCUGCAAUGCGCCUGAACAACUCGGUGCUCAUCCUAAACCGGUGACGAAAAUACGACUCGGGGUAUGUGGGAUUCUCCGCAAAAUAAUGCCUGAUCAAUCUGUUGUGGGCAUCGAUCCUAUCCCUCCAAAAAAAUUGCCGACCCAUAACCGAACCACCGUGUUUCGGUAUUUUAUUAAUAUGCAUAGCUAGGAUCAUUGCAAGAUCCUCGUCCUCUUCCAUAUCAAAUUCUUCUUCGGAAGAAUCAUACGACGAACUCAUCUAUAAUGUUGAAUACUAUGCUAUAAAUAAAAAACUACAAUCAACAUGCCCGAAAUUCAUGGCUUUUGAGCAAUACAUACCUUCUAGGCGUUUUGUCGAACAUCUAGCGGGCGUCGAGCGGCAGCGAGCGCGCGGGCGCUGUUCGUCGGUGGACCAGCACGCGCGCGGGGCGGCGGGCCUAGAGGGGGGCCGGAGAAAGCGCGCGCGGGGCGGGGAUAGGCCGGGGAAGCGCCGGAACGGUCCCCGGGUGGCGCGGUCAGCGACGGCGGCGCGGCUGGAGGGGGGUGGGAGGUGCGAGCGAGCACGCGAGAGUCCAGCGCGCGGGAGCGGGCGCAGCAAAUAAGCGGCGCGUGAUUGCGUUUCGGCCCGCGCGCUGGACUAUGUAUGCCGCGCGCGCGGUUUUCGCGCGCCCGCUGGAGCAGCUAUUCUGGUUGCGCGCGCGCUAAAAGGGGGGAUUUUGCGGCGCGGCGCUAGUUUGUAUAUGCGUGUAAUUUAGAGAUGCUCUUACGGAAGACUCCAACCGUAUAUGCGUGCACCUGAGGCUAGUCAUAGUGGGAGGAACUUAGCUAGUAACAUAACGCACUUCGAGAAAAUUCUGCUUAUGUGGCAAGUAAUUAAUAAGAGGUGGUAACAUAAUAUGUUACUGUAACAUAGCGUUUUCCAAAACAAGAUGAGUCUACGAGCUAAUAAAUGAAGUCAUCUAUGAUACUACUAUUAUAUUACUUUGUAUUAUGAAGAUAAUAACUAUAAACUAGUGUUAUGCAUAUAACACUAAUUUAAAUUACUUCCCAUUAUAACCAGCAUAAAGCAACGGCACACAACCGCGCGAGUCCUUGGGUCCAUGCAAGCGUGCCCGCACAUGCACACCGCAUGGUCGAAGGAAAAUAAAGGCAUCUUCAAUGGGAGGCGGUAGGAAAAAGUUCCAAGUCGAUCGGCAGUUGCAACGUAAAUUCCAGAACUAUUCCCGGCGUCGGGUGCCGCGGCGGCGGAAAAGAAGGCACCGAGCGCUAGCCCUUUUUCUUCUACACACAGCACUAUUUUCAACGAUAGUUAGCGCCGCGGCUGGCGCCAGCCUUGGAACAGAUACCGCUUUUGUUUCCGCUUUGCAAAAUGUCAUUUUUCAUUUCUGGGUUUCCUCUAUGUUUUUGUUUUUCCACCGAAAUAGCGAAAAGUUUCCGCUUCAUGUUAUGCCAAGCACCCGUGAAAACAUACCUACUAUGCCGGCUAGGUGUUUGCCGAGUGUUGGAUACCGACUAUUAGGGCAUGUACAAUGAUUGAUAAAAUAAUUUUAUUUAAGGUCUUGCAUGUAAUUUAGAGAUGACAAAAAAUAUAUCUACAAUGGAUCAUCUUUUAGCCUUAUCUUUAAUAACUAGGCAUUCCUAAAAACAUGAUGGAACAUAUUGUGCUAAGAGAUCAUUUCUUGUCUAAGAGAAGACAAGCCUUUUUUUAUGAGUUCUCUGUCAUCCAACUCACCAUUUAUCCUACGUGACACUUCUAAGAUAGCACCAUUGUACAUGCCCUUACAUUAGACAUAUCCUAUGUCGAGUACAUAUCGGCCUUCACCAAGCACCCUAGGUGUUCCGCAUAUAAUGUUUUUCCUGUAGUGAAUAUGUGUCCCCUCGCUUCCAGGAGCCAGGCAUAAUGCAUAGUAUCACAUCUUAGUAUUAUAUGGACCUCAUUUAUUCCUAUGCAUAAUACAUAGUAAGAGCAUCUACAGCCGGAUGCCUCAAGCCCUCUCAUACGCUCGCAGACGCGCCCGGUCAGUGGCCGGACAAGAGAGAGAAGAAAAAAAGUGACCCAGCAAGACCUCUCAUACCAUUCCUGUACGGCCGGGCUGUCAGCGAACCCUCAUAUCCAUCUCAAAUGUAGGGAGGAUAUCAAGGCUCGCAGAUGCGCCCGGUCAGUCCGCCACGUAGGACGUGGCCUCACCCCGACCACCUUUUCUUUUUCUUUAUUCACUCUUUUCCUUCUCUCUUCAUUUUCACCAAUCAUGUGCAAGUGACCGGACAUAUGAGGAGGAAAAUAAGGACCGUGGCUGCGCGAACGGACAAAUAACGGGCACGCCCGGUCAGUGGCCGGGCGCAUCCGCGGGCAUUUAGGAGGUCAUAUUUGUUAAGUCCGACUGUAGAUGCUCUAAUACAUCAUUUAAUAUGAUAGGGUGUCAUAAUAUGAUACUAAAUCGUCGCUUUUCUCAUUUAAUUAUACGCCAUCUCAACAAAAUACCCUCCGUCUCGGUUUAGAGCACGUGCACGUAGUUCUAAGUCAUCCAUUUGACUAACUAAACAUGAGUUAUAUGUCACCAAAAAUAUAUCAUUGAAUUCUUAAGCAGAUGUAGUUUCUAAACAUAUAUAUUUUUCGUCACAUAUAAUACAUAUAUAGCUAGUUAUUAUGUCACCAAAAAUAUUUAUGAUGCCUCACGGUGACCAGCCUGACAGACCUGAAGCUGGCUGGUGCUAAAUUACACGAUGAUGACGUCGUGUGGAUGACGGGAGCACGGACACACCCGGUGGCGGUGGCAUGUGCUGCAUGCAUGGAUUGGCGAGUUCGCGUUCAUCUCGCUUCAGUUUAUGGAACAUGUGAGAACGGGGUGAGCAUGAAGUCGAUCAUAUGACGACUGACCCAUGGACUUGGUGUUGGAACCAAAUCCGCUGCAACGCCCGAGAUUUGCCAUGCAUUUCGACGGACAGCCGCGGCCGUGGUGCCCAACACGAGAGCAGAACAGUUGUACUCCCUCUGUUCCAAAAUACUUGUCGUGUUUUUAAUAUAAAUUUGAUCUAAAACCACGACAAGUAUUUUGGAACGGAGGGAGUAGUAGCUACCAGCACUUCCUACAACUACUUUCGGUGCAAUUCCUACGAACAGUGUCGUGUGAUGAUUGUGGCAACAUGUAGACCUGCUGUCACCGCCACGUAAAUCCUCAUCCGUACGCGUUUCGCCGCGUAAGUCCUUUUAUCCGUACCGAGGGUUUAUUAUCAGGCUUUCGUGGGAAGAAGACUUGGCUUAGCCCCAGUCACCACAAAGUGUCAAGAUCAAUAAUCAUAUGUACUACCCCGGUGCACGCGUUCAACAUGACCGAAUGGCAUUGCCCAGUUUCAUACUUGAUCAGACUCGUGUGCGUACUUUGCCCGACACAGGAGACGACUCGCGCCCUGCUCAGUCUCAGCCGCAACUGCUGUGCAAUCUCCACCACCUCACGAACACAUCAGCAUGCACUUUACGCAAGACUCGACCACCCGCACGUGCACCUGAAGCAAAGAUUAAGGGUACACAAACGCGGAGUCCUCCUGGGUCGUCCAUGCAUGCAUGCGUGUUGGUACAUGCACACCGCGCGCUCCAGGGAACUGAAACGCCGGAUCAUCAUCAUCCACUAGUGUAAUGUAAACGUGUGCGAUGGAUCAAAGAAGGGGGAAAUAUCAACGUUUUCGACGGCCUAGAGAUGGUCGCAAAUGACUAAUGGAGCUUGAGCUAGCUCCAUGGAGCCCUUUAUUUAAAUAGUUCAAAAUUCAAAAUUUUAAGUUUCAAAAAUUCUGAAAACAAUACACGUGUGCAUAUGGAUGUAUACUACUUGUCUACGAUGUUUCAUGAUGAAAUACUUUUUUAUGCGAGCUACAUAAAAAUGACAAAUCACAUAUUUCUAGCACAUGUAUUAUUCACUAUAAAAUUACAUGAUUUUUUUACAGGACACAUAAAAAUAUAUUUUUUGGGGAUGAAAGAUCCGCGCACAUCUUGUAUACAUCUAUAAGUACUUGUGUAUUUAUUUUUUUGAUUUCUGUGAAACUUAAAAGGUUGAUUUUUAAUGUUUGAAAAAUUCAGGUUCCAUUGAGCCCGAGAACAAAAAACCACUAUCAAUUCCCAUAUUAACUCUGAAACAAGUAAAAGCUAAUCCCUCAAUUGUUGAAAUCAAAAAAAUUAGUCCCUUGCUUUGGUUUUUUGUGUGCUGACGUGGCAUGGCUUUGACCACUAAACUCGCCACCUCAUUGUCCACCUCAUCUUUGUCUUCCUCCACUCACUCUCUUUGCGCCGAGGGAGCAACUCCAGCCACCACCUCCACCAUCCAUGGCCUCGCCUUCAUGCUCCUCUGCCUUCUUGUGCACUCCUCAUCGUGGCAUGCCACUGCGGCUUCAAGGAGCACGGCGUCGAUGAGGAGGAAGCCUCACAAUCACAUGCAUUUCCAAGCAAACACCGCCGCCAACAAAGGUAAAACGCAAUGUCUACUCGGGUGUUGUUCUUGCUUGCUCUUGAUUUGUGUACGUGUGGUUAACUAGCAAUGAAUGUCACGGCGUGGCAACUAUAGGCGCAGGACAUACUACACCGACGGGUCGCAAUCGACGAGAAUAUUCAGCCCGCUUGGGGCGGCCCGACACAUGUCACCCGACAUGAACUUCAACAUCUACUCCAGCUUAUUAGGCUAGUUCUAGUAGUGAGUAAGUUAGACCAAUAACAUGCACAUGUUACUACUCUAUGUUAUUACUUUUAUAGUGGGGAGUGUCGUUGAUGUGAUAACAUAUAGAGCUUCACUUAUUACUUUGUAGAGCCAUCUUGCAUUGGGAACCGCUAUGUGAUGGUAACAUAUUAUGUUACUCUAUUUGCAUCUUCAUUAAUUACUUACCACAUCAUCUUUUUUGCCUAUGUGGCAUGUUUGUUAUUACUUAUGUUACUCCCACUAUGAGCAGCCUUAAGCCACCGCCCACGCCACUCGGGGUGUCGAGGAUUGGCAGGGGCAAGUUCACCUACGAGGACCUUGCGGCUGUAAUGGGAUAGAGAGGGAUUGGUGUAAUGGAUGAUGUAUUGCUUGAGCCUCGUGGGCAUAUAUAUAGAAGUACAUGAUCUACUUAGAGUACAAGACAAGGUAGAAUAAAUCCUACGCUAUUCCAAUCACGAUACUCAGCAGCGACAAUGACAGGUGGCUUCUUGCAGGUGAACAUGAUCAGUAGGGCGGGUUCGGGUACACGCACAAGGGGUUGCUCCCCUGCGGCAGGGUGUUGGCCGUGAAACAUCUCAAGUCCAGAAGCUGGGGGGGGGGGAUUUCCAAACCGAGGUGGACAUCAUCAACCGGGUGCACCACCGCCACCUUGUGUCCCUUGUGGGUCAUUGCAUCAUCGGCGCCAGCCGCAUGCUCGUGUACGAGUUUGGCCCAACAAGACGCCCAAGCUCCACCUCCACGGUCACUGCCCCUGCCUCCAUGGUUGUGCAAACCUUCCAGGAGUUAAUUGUGCACCAUUUAUAUACUAAAUUAUUGAUGGUUGGUGUGCUGGGUGCAGGGAAAGGGUUGCCGUCGGUGGCGUGGGCAAUGAGAUUGCACAUCGCGGUCGGGGGCGGCCAAGGUGGCGUGCACGCGAGAUGUGCGUGUCGUGGAUGUGUCGGCGCUGGCGUCCGAGGGUGUGGUGAUUGUGCCCUACACGACAGGUUUCUCACAUGGGCGUAGGGAGAGUGGAGGAGAAAAGACGAAGGUAAGGUUGUCGAGUUGACGAUGAGGUGACGAGGUCAGUGAUGAGCCAUGUCAGCACAAAACCACAUGAAGCAACCUAAGGGUCAAAAAUAUCCGGUUUCAACAGUUAGGGCACUAGCUUUUGCUGGUGUCAAAGUUGAGGGGUCAUUUCUAAACUAGCGGAAAAGUUGAGGGACAAAUAAUAUAUACUUUUUCCAUCAAAGAAACACGCACUGUACAUAGGCACCUUACGGUCUUGUGGUACAUUAAUGUAUUAUUUCUUUUUCUUGGAGGUACAUUGUACUCAAGUUCCCCUUUCCGUUGACGUGACGGCUUGUUCAUACGUAUACUUCCGACCUAUAAACGUAGAAACGGCGACCGAGGAGGACGGGGGUAGAAACUUCGCUUCCGUUUUUGAACGACUGGAUAGAGACUACACCUACGACGUACGCACGCCGCAGAGCAAGAGGACUGUUUAAAAAUGCCUACGCCCGUCAAUUUUAUCCUACGUAUAUGUUUUUUUAGUUCACCAAAGUGAACGCUGACGCAGGAAAACGAGUGAGCUACAUGAUCAAAGGAUUACGUUCAAGAGUAGGUAGCUUUGUUUCGUUCAUUUUCCUCUUCAUUGGAUUAGUCUUUAAUUUCUCCGAGGAAGAAAUUAAGCGAGCAGGUGACCUGCUAGACAUUUACGUGCAAGCAUCCUCAUCAUGGAUUAGCUUCUUUUCUUUUUGAGAAGGAGGCUAAUUUGGCCAGUGUCACUAAGAUAUUGAUUUUGAGAAGACUGCGGUGACCCAUCCUCGAGUAUUAUGCGUAGACCACAAGAUGAGAGUCACGACACGCCGUCGCCACAUGUAAAAGUUCAUCAGAAUUAGCCAUGUUUCGUACUCUUUUCGACUACGCGGCAGGGAGAACUUCGCACGCAGACUUGAUGCGACGGUCUCAUGUAUGCGACGUUGUUGACCGUCUGUAUGAAAAUGAAUAUUCGCAUAAAUGUAGAGAGAGUUUCUUAAUUGACAUUAGUGAAAUAAGUAGCCGAAUGUGUUUUUCUAAUCCCGAGCUCGAAUGCUUAUAAUCAGUAAAAAUCAACAAAAUAGAAACAAAAACUGAGUUUUUUUACAACCAGCAUUGCUUUCCCGCAUGGCCGCUGCCGCACGCCGUGGUACUUCUUCUUCGACAGUGGCUGCGGCAUGUUGGACAUGGAUCUCGAGUGGGGGGUGUCGGUGGAUGCUCAGGGCGAUCGCGCGCCCUUUUCCAUGAUCGAGCUCUUAUAGUCUAGUUGAGCAAAGGCCUAUGCCAAUGCCAUAAUUGUGAAAAAGCACAGUUCCAGACGCGCGCCGAUCCGGCGAUGGCCCCCCCUCGUCAACUCGGUAGCGGCGAAGGCUGAUGGCUAGAUCCGGCCAUUCGGGGAGAUGGCGGGCGACGGCGAUCGAUUGGAAGAGGGUCUGGGUGGACUUUGGGUCCGGAUGCGUGUAGGGCUAUGGUGGCAGGGGGAGGGGCGUUUUAUGGCGCUGGCGCAAGUGCUAGAGAACGACGGGCACAUGGGAGGAGAAAUAUUCCUGAGAGUGGGUUACGGCCGAUCAAAUAUAAGGCCGAUGCAUCUCUUAUAAUAUUUAUAAGGAGUUAAAACUGAUAGUGUUUCAGCUAGGUCCAGUUUAACUCCACAAAUGUGAAAUUUUGAGUAGUUAAACGGUUCUAAGAGACCAGCUAUAGAUGCUAUUAUAGAGUAGUAAUGCCCAUUUGCCCAUGGUGCAACUAGUGUGGCGUUUUGUAGAUCGGCUCCGGGAAGCCUGUAAAUUUCAAAAACCAAAAUUGCAGUUUGUAAGUUUCAUAGAAAAAAUCCUUUUUUUUGCAGAGAUACAUAUAGUCUUUGUCCACUUGUCUGUGAAGUUUCAUUGAAUAAACAUUUUUUUAGAAAAUUCAUUGAAUAAUUAGUUGAUUUGUAACCCCUCAAAGAAAAGUUGAUUUGUAAUCUCACGCAAAAAGAAAAGAGAGUUGAUUUGUAUCCUUCACAGAAGAAAAAAAUCCUGGCCCUAAAACAGCAAUAGAAAGGCCUGUUUCGAUAUACACAUUUACCCUUCCUUUUUUAGUACACCACAUGCAUGCAAAUAUAUUUUCACGAAACUUCAUAUAUAAAAUAAAAUAAAGGAAAUAAAAUAACUUAAUAAAGGGCUCCGGCCUCGAGAGCGCAUUAUCGACGUGCAACGCGCUAACUUUGGUAGCACAGUACCACUUGGCACGACGUACGCGCGCUGGCAUUGGGCAGUCUCACGUCGCGUCAGCCUUUGCAGCAGAACACACCUGGCAGGCCGCGGCCGGAAAUUGUAUGAAAGAGACCCGGUAGUUCACUUCCAAAAGAAAAGGAGACCCAGUAGCUACGUUCCUCCUGCUGUCCCCAGGUGGCGGACACCGCGUGAUCGACAACACCGAGAGGACUUGGCUUGCACGCCGGCCGCCGCGGUUCACGGCGCCGUCUUAUUUCCUUCAGCGCGUCCAUGCAAAUGCAUGCCGACUAUAGUUCGCCAUAACCCGACCAACUAAGCAAACCCUUGCUCGAUCGACGUCGCCGACAUGGCGACAUCCUUUCCCGUGCGUGCCUUAGCCACUAAGGCGUCGCAAUGUACACACUAGAGCUGGCUGCCACAUACGUUCUCUCUUUUUGUCUUGUCGUACGUAUACCAUGUAAAGUUACUUUUGGUGGAGUAUACGCACGUACAUGCAUGGUGUUUUUUGGGGUGAUGCUCCGUUCGGUUCGGGUGGAGAAGGUUCGCCCGCGCUUCCCCUGUAAAUCACGUCCCGCGUGCAACGCAACGGCUUCCUUGACAGGCCAACAACGCUGUUGGUUGGGAGUCAUCACGAAAUAAACGGCAAAUGACGAGGCGAUUAAUUCGUGCAGCAGCUUUGAUCCGUUCCUAGCUAGUGUGAUUUCCAGGAACCUUCCCAAGUUCUCCUCAUAUAUCCAGCCCCGGCCGGCUCCAUCAAACUCAUCAAGGAAGGAUUUCGAGCACCCCUGACCCUCCCAGCUGGUGUAGAUCCGUCCAUCGAGUCCUGCCUACCUAGGAGCUCUUCGCUGGUCGCCGCAUCCAUUGAUCCCAACCUCCAUACUUGUUGUGUUUCUCACCCUUCUCGCUUAGCUUUGCAAUCGCGCGCUGCACAGCGGAUGGAGUGCGCCGACGUCUUCAUCGCCGUGGGCCGCCGGUCAACGUCGCCCUCCACGUCCUCCUCGUGGCAGCCGGGGAGGCAAUGGCGCAAGGCCCUCAACGUCAUCCGGACGUGCCACAGGCUGGCGCGGCUCGGCAUUCUGUCCGCGGGCGUCCUCCUGCCACGGAGCACCGCCUCCUACGUCGCCAUCAAGAUCCACCACGACGGCAGUGACUCCGACGCCGACUCGUCCGGCAAUGCCACCAACGCCGCAGCAUUCUCUGUCACCGCUGAUGACGAGCUUUUCAAGGGCCUGGUCAAGGAGAAGCGCGAAGACUGUUUCCGCCGCCUCGGGGGCAGUGCUGCCAUUGCCGCCGCGUUGGCGUCCGACGCAGAGCGCGGCAUUCGCGGCGACGGCGACGACGUGCGGCGCCGCAGGGAGUCGUUCGGCGGGAACACGUACCCCAAGCCAAAGCCCAAGAGCUUCUUCAGCCACGUCUGGGACGCGCUCAAGGACGUCUUCCUCAUCGUGCUCCUCGUCUGCGCCGUCGUUUCCCUCGGCUUCGGCAUCAAGGAGCACGGCCUCAAGGACGGCUGGUACGACGGUGUAAGUAUCUUUCUUGCGGUGUUCCUCGUUGCUGCCGUCUCCGCCGUCAGCAACCACAGCCAGGCCAAGCGGUUCGACAAGCUGGCCAGCGAGUCCGACAACAUUGCCGUCACCGUCGUCCGCGCCGGCCGGAGGCAGGAGGUCUCCAUAUUCGAUAUCCUCGUCGGCGACGUGGUGAUACUCAAGAUCGGCGACUCGGUGCCGGCGGACGGGGUGUUCCUGGAGGGUCACGGCCUGCAGGUGGACGAGUCGAGCAUGACGGGCGAGCCCCACCCGAUCGAGAUAGAUGCCGAGAAGAGCCCCUUCCUCACCGGCGGCGUGAAGAUCGUCGACGGCUACGGCCGGAUGCUCGUCACCGCCGUCGGCACCGACACCUUGUGGGGCGAGAUGAUGAGCAGCAUAACCAAGGAGACGGCCGAGCCAACGCCGCUCCAGGAGCGCCUCGAGCGCCUCACCUCAAGCAUUGGCAAGAUCGGCGUCGCCGUGGCGGUGCUCGUGUUCACCGUGCUCACCGCGCGCCACUUCACCGGCAGCACCAAGGACGACCAGGGGAAGCCGCUGUUCAACAAGGGCCACGUCACCUUCGACGCCGUCUUCAGCUCCCUCGUCGUCAUCUUCCAGCAGGCCGUCACCAUCAUCGUCGUCGCCAUCCCCGAGGGCCUCCCGCUCGCCGUGACGCUCACGCUCGCCUUCUCCAUGAAGAGGAUGGUGAAGGAGAACGCGCUGGUGCGCCGCCUGUCGGCGUGCGAGACAAUGGGGUCCGUCACAGCCAUCUGCACCGACAAGACCGGAACGCUGACGCUCAACCAGAUGAAGGUGACCGAGUUUUGGGUCGGCACUGACCAGCCCAGAGGUGCCACGGCGAUCGCCGGGAGUGUCGUCAGCUUGCUCUGCCAGGGAGCUGGGCUCAACACAACAGGAAGCGUUUACAAGCCGGACAACGUGUCGCCGCCGGAGAUUACAGGCAGCCCGACGGAGAAGGCGCUGCUGUCGUGGGCCGUAGCGGACCUCGGCAUGGACGCCGACGCGCUGAAGAGGAGCUGCAAGGUGCUGCACGUUGAGGCAUUCAACUCGGACAAGAAGCGCAGCGGUGUGAUGAUCAAGGACAACGCUACGGGCGCGGUGGUCGCGCACUGGAAAGGUGCCGCGGAGAUGGUGCUGGCGAACUGCUCGAUGUACAUGGACACGGACGGAGCGGCGCGUGAGCUCGGAGCGGAGCAGAGGAGGAACCUUGAGAAGGUGAUCAACGACAUGGCAGUCGGCAGCCUCCGGUGCAUCGCCUUCGCCUACAAGCAAGUCGACAGCACUACUGAGCAAUCGAAGAUCGACGACGACGGUCUCACACUGCUGGGCUUCGUCGGGUUGAAGGACCCGUGCCGCCCAGAGGUCAAGGCGGCCAUUGAAGCUUCCACGAAGGCGGGCGUCGCCGUCAAGAUGGUCACCGGCGACAACAUCCUCACGGCCCGCGCGAUCGCCAAGGAGUGCGGCAUCAUAUCCAGCAACGACCCCAGCGGCAUCGUCAUCGAGGGGGACGAGUUCCGCGCCAUGUCGCCGGAGCAGCAGCUGGAGAUCGUGGACCGGAUCCGCGUCAUGGCGCGGUCCCUGCCGCUGGACAAGCUGGCGCUGGUGCAGCGGCUGAAGCAGAAGGGGCACGUGGUGGCCGUGACCGGCGACGGCACCAACGACGCGCCGGCGCUCAAGGAGGCGGACGUGGGGCUAUCCAUGGGCGUGCAGGGCACGGAGGUGGCCAAGGAGAGCUCCGACAUCAUCAUCCUCAACGACAACUUCGACACGGUGGUGACGGCCACGCGGUGGGGGCGCUGCGUCUACAACAACAUCCAGAAGUUCAUCCAGUUCCAGCUCACCGUCAACGUGGCGGCGCUCGUCAUCAACUUCGUGUCCGCGAUCACCACGGGCAAGAUGCCGCUCACCACCGUGCAGCUCCUGUGGGUGAACCUGAUCAUGGACACCAUGGGAGCCCUGGCGCUCGCCACGGACACGCCCACCAAGGCGCUCAUGGACCGGCCGCCCAUCGGCCGCACGGCGCCGCUCAUCAGCAACGCCAUGUGGCGCAACCUCGCCGCGCAGGCGGCGUUCCAGAUCGCCGUGCUGCUGGCGCUCCAGUACCGGGGGCGGGACGUCUUCGGCACCGACGAGAAGGGUAACGGCACCAUGAUCUUCAACGCCUUCGUGCUGUGCCAGGUGUUCAACGAGUUCAACGCGCGGGAGAUCGAGAAGAAGAACGUGUUCGCCGGGGUGCUCAAGAACAGGAUGUUCCUCGUCAUCAUCGCCGUCACGCUCGUGCUGCAGGUGGUCAUGGUGGAGGUGCUCACCAGGUUCGCCGGAACCAAGAGGCUGGGGCUGGGGCAGUGGGGCGUCUGCCUCGCCAUCGCCGCCGUGUCGUGGCCCAUCGGCUGGGCCGUCAAGUUCAUCCCCGUGCCCGACCGGACUCUCCAUGACAUCCUCACGCGCCGGAAAUCCUCAUGAUUCGUGCAUUUCAUACCGCAGUGUUCAUAUUUUACAUAGCUUAGGUGAUUCUUUCAUACUGUGCAUUUGUUUAGUUCAGUAGUUAUUUGUCGAACUGCAGUUUUCAUACUUCACAUAACCUAGGCGAUUCUUUCAUAAAUUGCUACUCAUUAUUUGUCGAAUCUUCUUAUAUAUACUUAAUACAAAUAUAUUUCUUUUAUUCAUCGGUAUUUCUCAAAUCCUCCAUUCAAACUGGCUACCGUGUUUGACCGAGGGAACUACCUGAAUGUCAGCAUGAAUACACCUAAUAUAAGCACAAAUCCUCCAUUCUAGAUGUUCAAUCAAACACAGGUUGGUCCUUUUUAGGUGUGUAUAGCUCUGAAACUAAGCGUGGAAAUAUUUUUUGCAUAUUUCUUCCAGAAUAAUACUUUAAGAUCUGAUUGGGUUUUGCCUUUGCUUGUGGAUACUUGUGCCUCUGAAUAUGCUUACAUGUUCCAUUGUUCCAGAAUAAAACUUUUGAUAAUGUUGCAGCGCAUCAGUUCCCUCCUAUCUUCCCUAGAAGCAUCUAUCUUGACAUCAGUCGUAUUUUAGUUCUAAGUUUGGUAAAUAAUUUAAACGCUUCUUCUUUCAGAAGCUGCUGACAGAUGAGAGGCGGGCGAACAACUAUCACAGUGUCGAAGGUUAUGUCGCAAUCCUGAGUAUCAUCGAAUUCCAACCAUGGCUUAUUGCAUACGCCUCACGCAUCACCUCCUUAAUCUUCUAAACUCCUUAAAGUUUCCUCUGUCUUGGGUUUCUUGCAAUAUGCCUUGACCAUUCCACUUACUAGUAGGAGCAGUUAAGGAAGUGAUGUUUCUGUUGAAGUGUAAUUUUUUUAUAGUUUUCUUUGAAAGAGUCCUCUUACCGAAGAACUGGUGAAAUACGUGACCAAGAUGUCAUUUAAUAAAAUAAUUGAGUAGUGAAGUUUAACUAAAUGGCCCGAAAAUAAAUGAAUUUGUGUUUAAAAAAGUAGAAAACCGGUUAGAAAUCACAUUUUUUUCAUUGGAGAAAAUAUAAGAAGUUAAAGGAUAGAAGGCCGGUUGAUCCUCCAAAUUAUAAGGGAUUAGUUAGAGAUGCUCUUAGCAACCACAACAACGUCUGUCUGAUUUCUUUACAUAUGUGUAUACUGUUGAGUUUAUUAAAACUAUUUUUCUCGCCAAGAACCAGAUUAGUCCAGAGUGUUUUCCCUGCACAAACUUUGGCCUGAUAAAGUUUCUCCACAUAUAGUUUUGAUGCUUGCCCUCAUAUAGUUUGGCAUUUGACUAAAUUGUACCAGGCCAGGGCUGACCAUCAACCUCUCAUCUCCAGGAACUAUCAGGCAGCAGGGCCUGCAAGAAAGCCUCGUUGUAGUGUGAAGAAGACAAGUUCGAGCAGUACAAGCUGGCUGCUGGUGAUGGUAUCACGCCGGAGAUCAUCGAGUCUGUGCAGAGUUGCUUUGGCAAACUUAAGGAAUCGGACAGUUACUGAAGGUUGAUGUUUGUUGGGCUCCAUUAGUCUGAAAAAAAGAGAAUGAAUCCAGCCAAAUGACAAUAUGUUUCUUGGUCAGAGCGUGCACUUGAGCCAGCAUUGUCAUGUUUCUGAAGGGAAUUUGGGGAAACAAUCGUUCUUGCUGGAGUUGUAGAGCCAACAUCCAUCUGGUAUGAUGCAAAAGAAUGACUCGAGGCAGACGUUUUCCUGCUUUAAUUAUGCUGAUGCACUUGAGCCAGCGUUGUCAUGUUUUUUAGAGGAACCUCGCCCAGCUAAGCACCUUUAAGGUCGUUUACAUCCGGAACGUCUCCAUCAGGCUCUGCCUCGCCCUCAUCAUCGUCAGCCACCCAGGCCGGCUACUGCGCCAGCCCGACGAACUCCACCUCGCACAGCAGCCCGUCGCCGACGCAAACAGUGUCUCGGCCUCCUCCGCCAGCACUUUCUAGUCCAGCGCGUCGCCCGCAUGCUCACCCGCCGAGAUCCUGCCGUGGCCCGUGGGCAGCAUCCACAUUCACCCUGAAUUACAGGCUAGAAACUGCCAUCCAGCUUAAAAGAAAUACAACUUUAUUUGCAGUCAUGAGCAUCAGCUCGAUUUGCAUAUACUACAAGAGUACGUACGGCGUAUUACAACCAGCCAUUCAAAUCUUGAUGCACAUAAAGGCCGAAAGCACAGACAUUCCCCUCGUUCUUACUACCCUUGUCCAGCACGCUGGCUUCUUUCUCCUACUCUUCGUCUUCUUCGUCGGCAGUUUCUUCUUUCGCAUUGCCAUUUCUUUCUUCUUCUUCUUCAUUGCCUUUUCUUUCUUCUUCUUCCUGGCCGCCUUGUCGUUGUCACUGAGUAUCACGGUGACCAGCUGCUCGAUGUAGCAUGUGCACAGGGCGAAAUUUGCUGACAUGUCCAACAUAGCCAAUUUGGUGGAGUUCAGAUGGCGUGAUGACAUUCAGGAAGAAACGAGGAAUGUUAGUUGUUUCCUGGAGCUCAGGAUCAGAAACGAGCGGAAACAUGCAAGGGGAGAGGAAAAACCGUAUGGAGGAGGGAGCUUCACUAGGCGAAGUGCAGCCUUUUUAUAGGUGACCCGUUGUGCCGUUUCUCCGGCAAAUCGUUGUUAUCCCGGCUUGAUUUCCAGGAAGCUUCCUUCCCCCAAUUUUGGCUCAUAUAUACAGGACUAGAAGCAUAAAAGCGCCUUGCCGCGUUGUUUUCUCCCUACCAUUUUUCUAUUGGUUGUUUGUUAAUUCGUCAAUGAUUCUUUUGCUUCUUUUCUAGGCCAAGAACGUUAAUUUUCUGUAAGUCUAUCAUGUUUUUGGCUGCAAUGAUAAUGGUAUGAGAGCACCCUUUACUUCAAGAUGUCCAGCAACAAAGUAGACCAUUAUUCAAUAUUUUACUACAAUUGCUCUUGGCAAAUGAAAUCUGAGCAGCGCUACAAAAAAAUAUACCACAGGGGCCAAACCCUAGUACCAGAUGGGCAUGACAAUAUUAAACUGCAAAACAUCAUCUAAAAGGUCAUACAAUUCAAUGAUUUGACCAAUCAAGAUUCCAUAUAACACCACAGUCAUAUACAAAUAAUCCACAGUACUAACAAUAAUGGUCUUGGCAGCCUCAAUCAAAGGCAGUUUCUACAGUAAUGGUAAAAUGGCAGUGGUAGUACGCAACACUUGGAAGUUGCAGCACCACAACAAAGUUGAUGGUCUUGGGUGCUAUAUCGGAUGGCAUAAAUACACAAAUAAAAUAUAAACAACAAUAAGAUAGGAGGAAAUUAUGCUUCAACCAGCAAGUACAAAACUUCUGUUACAUAAAUAUAGGUCAUAGUAUUGCUGCAAAAAUUGCCUUGACGCUAGGUAAUCUAACUUUCAUAUACAUAUGAAUUUGUUACUAUAAUCUAGAAAAGAUGCAGAAGUAAUAUUUUAUGAAAUGCCCUGUAGAGUAGCAUAGUCUGCUAUAACAACACUCACCACAUGUUUUGUUGGGGCAAGAAGAUGAUUCUACCACUGAAACAAUAAACAAGGCAAAGAAAAUGUGUUCACUCCAACAACAACAAAAUGAAAAUGUCUUCAUAAUUUCUUCUUUGAUGCACAUAUCAGAACAAAAAAAAAUGCAUGGAGGCAAGAACUCUAAAACCACGGCAUACAUACUAAUGGUUUUAUGGAGGCAAGAACUCAUAAACAUCUAGGUUUGAGGAACUUACAAUUCCAACAACAUAUACAAUAUCAUUCUGAGGUGAUAGGACAACCAUCUUGAUCUCUAGUUUGCACAGACAUUGCAAUGCAAGUCAGUAGUAGUACUGCAUUCCUGAUAUUCCGAACAAGUACCAAAUGGGUCUGGUUAUGCAUAACAGCAUAAGUGCGAACUACUUUCCCUAAUAAAUUACUCCAUCAAUGCUUGAACAUAAAAAAUCCAUUGUCCAGGCAAAACUAAAACCAAGUUAUCCUUUGCCACUUUAUUGUGUGAUUGCAAAAAAGGGAAUUGAUCACUCUAAAUAGGUGAUAGAAAGGAAAAAAAUGUUUUACCAUCCACAUAUGACAAUUUGCCAAUACAAACCAAAACCUGUAGGAAGUAGGAACGACUUUGAUGUUGUGGGGUUUUGAGUAUUAGUUCCCAGAACAUUGGUCCUUCAAGAAGAUUCCAUGCCCUCAACAUACUACCACCCUGAGAAAGAGCAACAAGAUAUCAAUACAUGUUCAAAACCAGAUCAGUUUAAAAAAUGAUCAAAAAUCAGGUCGCAAUUUAGAUUUUUGCUUAGCAAACUAAAGUUAGAAUACUGCAAUGGCUAUAUGCAGGAAACCUGUGAAACAAUAACGAGCAUUAAAUAGGUGGCAUUGUCUCUCUCACAUAACCAAUUUGAACAACAAAUGAAUGAAACAUUCCACUGUUGUCUUCUCAAUGACAAGAAAAAAAACAUUAAACUUGAACUGCCGAAAUGCAGGCAUGCAAUUGCCAUGCCGCUCAUGUGUAGUUAUUAUAGCACCAAUUAUCAUGGAUAUAUGUCGAAUCUUAUAUAGCUUAGGCAAUUCUUUUAUACUGUACAUUGUUACUCGUUAUUUGUCGAAUCUUAUAUACAGUAUAAUGCAAGUAUAUUUCUUUUGUUCAUCGGUGUUUCUAAAAUCCUCCAUUCAAACAACAUAAAUUAAGGCGCGAUUUCGCGCCGCAACGUGGCAAGCUGGCUACCGUGUUGACCGAGGGAACAAGCUGAAUGUCAGCAUGACUACACCUAAUAUGAUCACACAAUUCGGCUGUCAGUCAUAAGAUAGUGUCCGUUCUAGAUGUUCAAUCAACACAGGUUGGUCCUUUUUAGGUGUGUAUAGCUCUGAAACUAAGCAUGGAAUAUAAUUUUUUGCAUAUCUCUUUCACAUUAAUACUUUUAAGAUCUGGUUGGGUUUUGCCUUUGCUUGUACCUUUGAAUAUGCUUACAUUUUCCAUUAUUCCAUAAUCAAACUUUUGACAAUGUUGCAGCGCAUCAGUUCCCUCCUAUCUUCCCUGGAAGCAUCCAUCUUGUCAUUACCCAGCAGGUUGGUCAGAAUGAGUCCAGUGGUAUUUUAAUUCUAGGUUUGGUAAAUAAUUUAAAUGCGUCUUCUUUCAGAAGCCGUUGACAGAUGAGAGGAGGGCGAACAACUAUCACCGCAUCGAAGGUCACGUCGCAAUCCUGAGCAUCAUCGGAUUCCAUCCAUGGCGUCUUGCAUACGCCUCACGCAUCACCUCCUUAAUCUUCUCAACGCCUUAAAGUUUUCCUGUGUCUCGGCUUUCCUACAAUAUGCCUUCAUCAUUCAAGUUAUAACACAAUUUGAAUAUUUCCACGAUAUGGUCAUAAGGGAAUGUGUUUUCAAAAUAGGCNNNNNNNNNNNNNNNNNNNNNNNNNNNNNNNNNNNNNNNNNNNNNNNNNNNNNNNNNNNNNNNNNNNNNNNNNNNNNNNNNNNNNNNNNNNNNNNNNNNNNNNNNNNNNNNNNNNNNNNNNNNNNNNNNNNNNNNNNNNNNNNNNNNNNNNNNNNNNNNNNNNNNNNNNNNNNNNNNNNNNNNNNNNNNNNNNNNNNNNNNNNNNNNNNNNNNNNNNNNNNNNNNNNNNNNNNNNNNNNNNNNNNNNNNNNNNNNNNNNNNNNNNNNNNNNNNNNNNNNNNNNNNNNNNNNCAUACCCAUGCAGAGAAAAAUAUCACCAAGCUCUCGGCGCUCGCUAGCUAUCUCCGAGCAUGCCACGCGGCUUGCCCCCACACCUCACGAGCCCCCUUGGGAAGCUCAUCUAGAGGGUACUCCGGCUAUUUGCUCCAUUUUUAUGAUAUUUUAGGGGUCCUCUUAUUAGUCACUAUGUGUGCCAAACUGACGAGCAAACACACAUAAUGACAUGGAUGGGCAGUUUCAUUUUGUGUCGUCAAGUGGUUCCUUCGUGUGUAUCGGUUGUAUCUAUGUUUCUUUGAUUUUUACAGGUUUUCAAUCAAUUUUAGUUUGCAUAAACACACACAAAAAUAGUACAUUUCUAUAAAGCGAACAGUUUUAAACUUUAUGAAUCUCUUUCAAAAAUAAACAUUAUGAUAUUUGUGAACAUUUCUAAAAGUGACGAACAUUUUUUUUCUGAUUUGUUUUACACAAAUUCUGAACAUUUUUAAAUUUUUACUAUUUUUAUGUAAAACAAUUGUGAACAUUCCCAAUGAACCUCAAGAUUUCUUGAUAGAAAAGUGAACAAUUUGAAAUUUCUGGAAUUUUUAAAACCAAUAAUAAAAAAAUAAAAACGAAAAAUAGAAAACAAAACCAAUAAGCCAUAGCGAAAAAUAAUAGAAACCAGAUGAGAACCUUCCUAAAACUGGAAAAACUGGACUCAUGACCUUCCCAAGACUGGAAACCAAAAAUAAUAAAUAAUUGGCUUAACACUAAUCGGGUCGAGCAAGUCAUUAGCUACUCUCUUAUCAUACCCAUGCAGAGAAAAAUAUCAUCAAGCUCUCGGCGCUCGCUAGCUAUCUCCGAGCAUGCCACGCGGCUUGCCCCCGCACCUCACGAGCCCCCUUGGGAAGCUCAUCUAGAGGGUACUCCGGCUAUUUGCUCCAUUUUUAUGAUAUUUUAGGGGUCCUCUUAUUAGUCACUAUGUGUGCCAAACUGACGGGCAAACACACAUAAUGACAUGGAUGGGCAGUUCCAUUUUGUGUCGUCAAGUGGUUCCUUCGUGUGUAUCGGUUGUAUCUAUGUUUCUUUGGUUUUUACAGGUUUUCAAUCAAUUUUAGUUUGCAUAAACACACACAAAAAUAGUACAUUUCUAUAAAGCGAACAGUUUUAAACUUUAUGAAUCUCUUUCAAAAAGAAACAUUAUGAUAUUUGUGAACAUUUCUAAAAGUGACGAACAUUUUUUAUUUUUUUCUGAUUUGUUUUACACAAAUUCUGAACAUUUUUAAAUUUUUACUAUUUUUAUGUAAAACAAUUGUGAACAUUCCCAAUGAACCUCAAGAUUUCUUAAUAGAAAAGUGAACAAAUUGAAAUUUCUGGAAUUUUUAAAACCAAUAAUAAAGAAAUAAAAACGAAAAAUAGAAAACAAAACCAAUAAGCCAUAGCGAAAAAUAAUAGAAACCAGAUGAGAACCUUCCUAAAACUGGAAAAACUGGACUCAUGACCUUCCCAAGACUGGAAACCAAAAAUAAUAAAUAAUUGGCUUAACACUAAUCGGGUUGAGCAAGUCAUUAGCUACUCUCUUAUCAUACCCAUGCAGAGAACCACGGCGUUUACCCGACAUCUAAUCGCAAGUGUUAUUUUUAGCAGUAAACCACACUCGACUCUAAUCUAUAUCUUGCUUAUUGCCAGACUGAUUUUUUUUUUGAAACAAUUGCGAGACUGAUAACGAGUCACAUAGACGAGCUAUAUCUCGCGCAAAGUGGCCCGGCCCAAUAACGUUGCUUCUUGCAUUUUGGGGAACCUUCCAAGGGAGCAACUAGUUAACGAGCGCUUCUUCGAGAGCCUCGCAACGAUCAGCGCCACCUGGCGCGCUCUCAGCCAUUCGUCACGUGUCGUGCUCUGGACGCUGCCUCUGGAUUUUGUUUUUUUCUCUAUUUUCCGCGCGCAUUUUCAGCUUUUUAAACGGUUUUUUUCCGAGUUUUUUCGACGUUUUGGUUUUCCCCCGAUCUUCCUUAGCUUUUCGAUCAAAAAAAAUUUCCGCGAAAAAACAUGUUUUUUUUUCUUUCACGAAAGUCACGGUUUUUUUUUCGCGAGAGGCAUGGUUGUGCUUUAGCGAGAGUCACGGCCGUGCCUUCCGGAAACGGAAAAAAACGCGUUUUCUGUUUUUUUUUCUUUCGCGAGAGUCACGGUUUUGCUUCCGCGAGAGGCACGGUUGUGCUUUCGCGAGAGUCACGGCCGUGCCUCUCGGAAAGGGAAAAACAAAACGCAUUUCCCGUUUUUUCUUUUGCGAGUCGCGGUUUUGCUUCCACGAGAGGCACGGUUGUGCUUUCGCGAGAGUCACGGACGUGCCUCUCAGAAAGGAAAAAAUACGCCUUUUCUAUUUUUUCGCGAGAGUCACGGUUUUGCUUCCGCGAGAGGCACGGUUGUGCUUUCACGAGAGUCACGGCCGUGCCUCUCUGAAACGAAAAAAAAACGUGUUUUCUGUUUUUUUCCUUUCACGAGAGUCACGAUUUUGCUUCCACGAGAGGCAGGGGCGUGCCUCUUUCGAAAAGGGAAAAAAUCAUGCUCCUGGUUCGGUUUUUCGGCCGGUUUUUUCGUGAAAAAAAAGUUCGUCAAAACAUAUCAACAUGGUAUCUAGUUUUGAAGAUCUCGACGCGAGGAAUCCAAUGAUGAAAACGGUUCAAGAUUUGGACGCACGGUUUAAAAGAUAAAACGUUUUGAAUAAACGAAUCUAUGAAAAAAGGAAAAACUCUCGGUUGCGACAAGUGGCACGCUGCAUCUCCGCCACUUGUCGCGACUUGGGAAAGUGAAGUGUUCUUUGCAACGAGUACUCCUUAAUUAGUGAUUUCGACCCUCCAAAGAGCGGCGGUUUCGGAAACCUUCACACGGUUUUGGAAGGUUUCCUUUUGAUGUCUUAUAUUUUGGAACAGGCGUUGUAUUUUUUUUCCACUUUUCUAUUCGUUUUCAUUUCUUUUUUUCUCUUCCAAGUUCAUGAAGCAUUUUAAUCCUCCCAAUUUUAAUGUAUAAACAUUUUUUUACUUGUCAUGACCAUUCUUUAAAUAUUGAGCAAACAAAAUUUGACAUUUACAUGAACUUUUUAAAAAUUAAUAAAGAUUUUUAAGUUUGAAGAACAUUUUUUGAAAUGGUAUAAAGAUUUUUACAUCCUAUGAAUAAUUUGGAAAAAUUGUGUGGACAACCUUUUACAUUCCAGAACAUUCAUUUAAACUCUCAUGAACAAGUUUUUCAACGUGUGAACCAUUUUUUGAAUGGUACAAACAUCUUUGUAUAUCUCAUGAAAAUUUUAUUAAAAUUUUGCGGAUAAUUUAUUUUUCAUUAACAAAAAAUAAAACACAACUAAUCAUAUUUACCAACCUGGUGGACAUUUUCGGAAAUACCCGAUGAACAUUUUUAAUACAUGAUGCAUGUUCUACAAAUUAAUAAAAGAAUUCAAAAUGAAUUUUUCAAACAUUUUUAGCGGAAAAAAUUCUUAUAUAUAGAUGGUACAUACGUUACAAAUGAAACGUACUACAAUACAUUUUUUUCAGUCUAAACACACUCCACUUUAUUGGUUAUUGAACAAGUCUAUAGGGAUAGAAUGUAGAUAUGGAGUAUUAAGGAGACACACAUGGAGCCCUAAAGAAAGGCCUAGAGUAUGUUUAGUGAGACUAUGUGCCUCAGUAUUGAUUCCUCCUUCCUUCGAAGAUGAAGGAACAUCGAGAAAACUAUCGUGAUGUAAGGUUGAUCUCCUUGAUAAUACUAGAGUGUAGCCCACCCGUAUUUCUGUGAAUGUCGUUGAUUACACCUUGACAGCCUCAAGCUAGCUGCACGUCUGUAAGCGAUAAAUCGAAAGCAAGUGAGAGCGCUUGGCGACAGGCCAAUGCCUCCAAAGAUGCUGGGUCGGUCAUUCCAGGACAUUUUAUUGCCGAGGAACCUAGAUAGUUGCCGGUGGAGUCCCUGCGAACUGCGUUGUAAGAACCCUCUGUCACGUCACGGGACACGGCACUGUCCACUCGAAUUUUUGCUGGGCGGGAUGUGUGAGCAGCCAGAUGCUGUAUCAUCGGUUUGCACGUCUGAAGCUCUCAGAGAUAGAUCUGGACAAAUAGAUUAGUGGCUAAAACAUUUUAGUUUUGAGAUCCAUAAGAAAGACAUAUUUGAGCAACCAUUUUGCAGGUUAUAUCAAAAAAAAGUUGGAGAAUUUUUCGCAGGCCAUAUCAAAAUGGACCUGUCUAUUAUCAUGAUGACCUGUGGAGAAGCUAGGUAAGGCCCAUCUGGUUGGCCCAGAAGCCCACGGCGGAACCCCGACAGCGCCGCAGGGACGCGCAGAGUUCCGGCUUCGUCGCUGCCCUCCGCUUUCCUCCGCCGCAGUUGAGAUCGAGUUCGUGUUUGGCAUUUGCUCGCUUAAACCCUCCCACCUCCGCUACAAACCAAACGCAAACCCCACGGAACAAUCCCCUUCUUCUCCCCUUCUUCCUUUUCUUUCUUUUCCCCCAAGCCAGCCCGCCCCCCGCCAGCCAUGCUCCGCCUCGCCGCCGCGAGAUCGCGGGCCCUCCUCCUGCCCCGGCCCGCCGCCGCCGCCGCCCCCUCCUCCUCCUCCUACUCCUCCUACGCCCGCGGCGCCCCCUCCCCCUCCUCCUACGCCUACCGCGCGGCCUCCUCCGCGGCCGCCGCCGAGGAGGCCGCGGCCGCGGCGGCGGCGCCUCCCCCCGCGGCCCGCAAGGGGUGGGUCAGGGGCCUGCUCAAGUUCGGCGUCUUCACAACCCUCGUCGGAGCCAUCGGCGGCGCCGGCUACGCCACCCACGGUGCGACCCCGCCGCCCUGAUCUCUCUGCUCGGGCGCUUCCUCCCCGUUUGGGGCUCCGCCUUCUCACUUUUGUUUGACCUUGCCUUGUUUGUUUGUUCCUUCCCGUUUGCUGCAGCCUACUCGCUGUCCGAGAUUGACAAGAAGACCCUCGAGUUCAGGAAGGAGAUGACCACCCCGAUCCCCGUCGCGGAGGACGCUUCAGAAUUAGAGGUAAUAAUUAACCAAUGCCGCGCCAUCUUCCCGUCAUUGCCUUUGCUUCGUUGCUUGCUGGAGUAGUAAUUUCGCUAGGGGCAAUAUAUAGUGUACCUGAUUGGCCUAUUGGCAGCUCUGUUUAUUGUAAUAAGCUUGUAAGGGAGAGCCUCUCUAGCGAUACAGAAACAUGCAACAUAUUGUUAAACUAUCACUAUGUUCUGUCACAAGGUCCAUGGUAUCCAAAAUCAUCAAUAUACAUGUAUGUGAUGCAGAAACAAAUGGAGGUUGUGGAAAUAAACUGCAGCUAGCAGCUUUGUUGUGUGUCAAACUAUGUCUAACACUAGAGUGCCUGUGCUUUGUCUGUGCAGAAAUUUCGGGCUAGGGCUUACGAAACAGCUAUGAAAGGUACAGGCUAUGGCAGCUUCCUUCUUUUAUUAUUGUUAUAUUAUUAUUAUUAUUAUACUUGCCUUCCUUUUUUUCUACUACCUGAAAUAUUUUUUUCCUUUUGGACCGCAAGAUUGCUAUAUUACAGUUUUUACUCUCUUGCUGUUUGUUUUCUACCUCCUCUCACUUCUUUCCUCACUUGAUGCUUUUGUACACGUUCCAAACACUUGAUUGAACAGUGAUCUGACGACCAUUAUAGUAAGUAGUAAUAAAUUAAAAGAAUUCUCCUCAGUGAGUGCAAUGAAGAUUGGAAUUGAAUACAGUUAUGCUGCUACUCCCUCUGUUCCACAAUAGAUGCUGUUCUAGCUUUCACAUUUUCUUCCUAAAUACAUGUCAUUCGAGGCAAUUCUUGCCAUCCUUUCCUUUGCAUACCCCAAAAAAUUAUUAUUCACAAGGUUCGCUACUAUGACUAGAGUAGUACCCACCCAUCCAGUAGUGAUAAGUGAGGUAACUAAGGGGGCCUUGGUGGGAUGGGGUUGUAAAAUCUUAGAAUGGCAUGCUUGUGCAGCGGAUGGUGUCUUCUGAAUACAUAAAUAUAGUCAAAAUUAUUCCUUGAGCUCCAGUAUACCUUUUUGUUUGCCACCUUUUUAAUACUUAAUACUAGUCGUGUACGUUUUGGUACUGCAGUUCCUGUUGCAGCGAUAGAGCUUUACCUGGAAAUUAGGGCCAGAAUUGAAGAUCAUGUUGUGGUUAGUUACGAAUUAUAGUAUUUCCAUUUUUUAUCUAACAGUUGUAUUUCUAGUAAAUGUUAAUAAUCACACCAAAUAUUUGUUUGACAGGGCUUUACUGAACCCGCAUCAGACAAACUGCUACCAGAUUUACAUCCGGACGACCAGAAUAUCUUCACCCUAGUUGUUGAUCUGACUGACACUCUUGUAUGCAAUGAUUGGCAGGUAGAGUGAAUGAAAUAUUUAGUCCUGUUUUGAUUGUUGAUUUUUUCCAGUACUAUAACCCAAUCUUAGGAUUUGAUGGGAAUGAGUUACUAUGAUACAUGGACUGAUAUUUACGUUAUAAAAAAAAGACUUCCAAGUCCAUGUGAGUGGCAAUGUGCAGCUUGUUUUCCAUGCUGUCAGAUAAUGUGCUAACAAGUGCAGCACAAUAUAUAACUUAAAUGAAACCAUCUCUAACUGAAGGAAAACUAAUUUUAUUUUCAUCUCUUAUUUUCCUAAAUAUUUAUGCACAACUUUAUAAAUAGGAUUCAUAUCUCUUCAUUUGAUUGGACGAGACUAGUCCCUGUUGUGCUACAGUACGCGGGAACAGUAGGUCUUCCCAUAAUUUGCGCUAGGGGCUUGGUACACUCCCAAACGAAGCAGAUAUUUGUGCCUAGGCAUGUAACAUGCUCAUGAGAUUUUCCAUUGCCACAUCCAGUGCUCGUUUGCUUGGUUGUAUCUAGGCAUGUAACAUGCUCAUGAGAUUUCCAUUGCCUUACGGUAACAUAGCAGGAUGAGGGUUGAACUCAACUCAUCUUACCUAUGUUGCUAUUAGUUCCAUUGCAUGGGAUAAUUCAUAAAUUGUCUUUCAUUUUUUAUCCUCUUUUUAUUUUCCUACUUGCGCAAUUCAGGAAUAUCAAUGUAAUGUUUUCUCUCUAUGUAAAGCGUGAGAGAGGUUGGAAGACAUUCAAGAGACCAGGAGUUGAAGCUUUUCUGCAACAUAUGGCAAACAUGUAUGAAGUUGUUGUAUAUUCUGAUCAACUGCAAAUGGUAAGUUGUUUUUAACUUAUCCUUCAGGUAGACUGUUAUGUUAAUACCCUAAUGUCUACAUGUUUCACUUGUAGUAUGUGGACCCUGUAGUUGAAAGGUUGGACUCAACGGGUCAGAUACGCAAAUUAUCAAGGCCUGCAACUAAGUACCAAGAUGGUAAACAUUAUCGGGUAUGAAGACUGCCUGGCUUUACUAUUUGAGCAAUAAGCACACUCCAUAAAGAAUAAAACAUUGUCAGUAAUAGUGAAUAUCAUCCAUUUUGCUGUUUUAUACUAAUAAUCGCCUUUCAAUCAUUCACGGUAUGUGCUCGUAAAUAAGUAUGUGAGCCUAUACCCAAGGAUGCAUGUAAAUCAAUAUGGACACUAAUACAGUAUUAUAGUAUUCUUUCUAUUGUAAAUUAAGAUCGAUGCUUGUAUUGUUGGGAAUUUCAAGAGAAGUGAACCAUUCAAUUGUGUAUUUAUCUGUUUAUUUGUUUAUUGGGUCAAUUAUCUGAUAUGUGAGCCAUCACCAAGCCUUCCGUUUUGUUACUGUAUGAUAUUUCUCCUUUUAAUAUUUUUUGUCAUGCUUUACCAGGAUUUGUCAAAGUUGAACAGAAAUCCUGCGCAAGUUCUUUACGUCAGCGCACAUGCUCUUGAAUCUUGCCUGCAACCUGAAAAUUGUGUUACAGUCAAACCCUGGAAACUUGAAACUGAUGACACUGAGUUGCUGGAUCUGAUUCCAUUUCUUGAGUGUAAGUUUACCAACACGUCUCCUGUAUCCCUAAAAAAACAUCUCGUGUAUUACGGCAUUACCAUGUGGUUCUUGGUAUCUUCGUUGUUGUCUUCUGAGUCUGUGACCUCAAAGUGCUAAGUGUUAAUGAUGCUAACUUUUAUAUUACAGAUCUUGCCAUAGCAAGGCCUUCUGAUAUUCGGGCAGUGCUUGCUUCCUAUCAAGGUCAUGACGUUGCUAAAGAGUUUCGCAAGCGUAGCAAAGAACUGGAGAGGUAAGCACAUGGUUACAUUCUACUACAGGAUGCCUGUCAUUUAGAAUACUUUAGGUUUGCCGUCUUUACAUUUACCAGUGAAACUCUCUUUGUGUGGCAUUUGUUGUGGACUGUCAUGGUUGCAUUCUACUGCAGGAUGCCUGUCAUUUAGAAUAUUUUAGGUUUGCCGUCUUUACAUUGACCAGUGAAACUCUCUUUGUGUGGCAUUUGUUGUGGACUAUCAUGGUUACAUUCUACUGCAGGAUGCCUGUCAUUUAGGUUUGCUGUCUUUACAUUAUUAUGAACGUGAUAUAUUGGUAUAGAUGUUCCGUUUCAAAAAAAAAAAAAUAUUGGUAUAGAUGUCAUCAGUGUAACUACAUGAGUGGACCUCUCUUUUGUAUGGCAUUUGUUGUGGACUGUCAUGGCAGUUGUGUAUGUUGUUUAGUUGGUACGCCUUAUGCACAAGUUGAUCUGAAUUUCGAAGUACAGAUUUUUUUAGGUGUUGUGCCGGACUUGGCAAUUAUGUAGUAGAAUCAUGCUUCCUUGAGAACCACACCAAUCCCAGUAGUGCAAAAUUAGGACAUUGACCUUGAGUGUAUCAGAUUUCAAGCUUAGAAUGCGUGUCUGGAUUUUUGAAAAUCGGCUUAUCUAGGAUCAGCUAUUUGUUUGUUACACAAACCUGCUAUUAUUAUUAUUUUUUGCUUCUGUGAAUUGAAUGGCCAUUACUUCACCAUCUUACAGGCACAAGCAACAGAAGCAACGUACGAGCAUAUGGCGGCGGUGAUGGAUCUGAUCUUCUGGAAGGACAAAGCUCCAAAUUGACCUACCUAAUCCUAGCUGCGCUUGUUUUUUGUUGGAAGGAGAGCAUACUGAGACUCCUAUGCAUUGCAUUUCUAGUCAAAUGGCUUGGUAGUUUUGGGCAGUUUAGGUUGCCAAACAUUACGACUGAUAUCAGCACUCAUCCCAUCUUCUUAUAACGAUCUCCAUUUCUUGGGCAUCUCAUUCCCAUGUGAAGAAUAGGCUAUAUGUAUAGCACACGGUCUCUGUUAAGAGUUUGAGACCACGCCACCAAGUUUGCCUUAUGCUUGGUUGUCAGAACAUGCGUUGAGAUGAGGCGGUUUUUCUUAAUGGUCCGUGGUCAUUGCAUUCUCUGUCAUCGUGCAGACAUUAUCGACUUGGUGAGAAAUAAUUUAACAGUGGUUUUGUGACUGAAUCGUCUCAUCUGCACCAAAUUCUCUUAUUUAGUGGCAUUCUCGGGUUAAAUUUUUCUUUAAUCAGGGUACUCCCUCCCACUUCUUCCCCAAAUCUUAUGCGUUUCUAGCAUAGAAGCAGUGGCGGAGGCAGGAACUCCAGAAAAUCGAGGUUGGGGGUGGGGGGGCUUAAUGAAAAAGGGGAAAAAAUAUUGCUCAUUGUAAUUAUACAUGGAAAAGCAAGAUCAUGGGGCGGGCCAUGCCCCUGCUGGCCACCCCUUGGCUCAGCCGCUGCUUGGGAGCAUAUGCUUCUGCGCAUCAAAAAUGCUUUUUAAAUGCCAACUCUUUUUAAAAAAAAUGUUGGGUUCAUGUCACACUCGAAUGCUAAAAACUUAAUCAUUUUUUAUGUGUCCAAAAAACAAUUUUGAAUGCCAAAUGUUACGCUUCUUUUUUAUCGACGAAGCACUGUUAUCCCUUUUCCAUUCAAAAUUGUCAAGCACGCUUGUUACACUAACAAGAACAUCUACACACGAAAUCCACUUUUUAAAAUUUUAUUUACUAGUACAUAUUUUGAAUUUACUGUUCAUCCGAAAACAUAUACACCCUAGAGCCAAAAUGGUCAUGCCAUUCUUUCUUUGUGGAAAGGCAAUGUUUUUGUACACUCGAUGAUAUCCAUUGACGAAAGAAUGGCAUUCAAAUGAUGUUACACGCCUCGGUGACCAGACUGUUUUUCUCAUAAUCCUAUCAUUUGAUUUUACACGCCUCCCUUGCAUCCAACGUUUUUAUUUGUAAUUAUAAGAACUUCGAUAAUCUGUGUCUUGCAUGAAUCUCUCUUAUAAAUUCUCCGUCUUAUAAAUUCCCAAAUUCCCGAGGUUCUUAGGGUUGUUUUGACUUGCGGGGCGAAAGAAAGAUACACGGAAAGGAUUCCAUCGUCAUCCAACUUGAAUCGUGUAGGCCUAAUUGACUCGCAAUAGAACCAUAUGAUUUCUUUUUCAAGAGGCACAAGUAAAUGAAGAAACCCUAAUAAAUCGAACCCAAAAGAUGCCAUUGGAAGGGAAAGAAAAGCAUACAACACGCAUAUAAGUUUUUCAACAGUUAAAAUUCUUAUUCACAAAAAAAACUUUGAUUUUUUUAAUAAAGCAGGCCAUCACAGAAAAAAAAUUCGUCGCAAAUUUUUGAAAAAGACAUGGUACUUUUUUUUUCUGGUUUUAGAGCAUGGCCCCUUUUCUCCGCAGAAAAAAGGCCUGGCCCACAUCAAGGAGUCGACCGACCGGGCCACAGACAAACACAGGCUUGAAGCUCGCAGCACGGAUAGCGCUCUCCGGACUCCGCCCAAAUCGCCGCCGCACCGGCUCCGGCCGCUCCCCUGCUCCCGCGGGCGCCAUGACGGCGAAUCAGCCGGCGGGCGAGGCCCUCGCGACCCACAUCUCCGGCAUGUCCCGCCCCGAGAUGUACGACCUCAUGUCCCAGAUGAAGGUGCGCCCCCCAAUCCCCAAACCCUACGACCUCCCCCUCCCGGCGUCCUCACCCGUUUCGCCUCGUCCCGCAGGCCAUGCUCGACCACGACCAGGAGAGGGUGCGCCGAAUGCUCGUCGAGAACCCCGACGUCACCCGCGCGCUCUUCCGGGUGAGUCCUCUCGCGGCCUGCGCUGCUUGCUAGGGUUUGUGGGUUUCCCGGUACAGAUUCCGUGUGUCUAUGCAGGAAGGGGUAGGAUAAAACCCCAUGCCUGUCACAAAUGGUAGUCUCUGAGCAUCUGGUGUGAAUUGCUGGCUACCCCGGUUAAACCUGGCUCAUGUUUGCAUAGGGAGUGGAAAUCGAGGGCCAUUUAUGUUGUAAAAACAUUAUAGGUUGCUCUGUACAUGAUUUUGAUGGAAAAUCCAGCCAUAAGAACAUGCUGUAUAGUCGUGUUAAUGUUGAUAGUGUCACCAGAGGGCGUUCACACCUGUUGUUUCUGUAUGGAAAGAAAAUGGACGAAGAAGAAGAAUGUGUGUCACACGCUUAUGUUUUUCUAGCAAACUUGUAUAAAAGACUAAAACCGAAUCCACCACUUGUUCUAAUACGCCUGUUUCCAAUGGUUUGUUCAAUUGUUAUAAGCAUUCGAAUAUGCAUCAUUAAUGUUUUUGCUUUUGUUCUCAUGGCAAACUUGCCUUGUUAUCUUGCAGUCAAUAUAGGAUUAUUUGUUGUGGUAUCUGCCUACAUAUGUGAACUUUCAAGUUUCAACUUGAUUGUUUUGCUCACAGUGAUGGAAUCUGUUACAUGCAUUUGUGCUGGAUGAAUUUCUCAUAUAGUAUUUUUUUUCUCCUUGCAGGCCCAAGUGGUUCUCGGAAUGGUCAAAACACCUAAAGCUGUAUGUAACAUAAGUUCUUUGACGUUUAAUAUUUGGAUUAUUAAUGUUGAAAUUGAAUCUUUUUUGUCAUCAAAUGCUUGUUGUUCCACAGGCACAAUCUUCGGACAUGCCCCAGCCAGCAGUUGCUCAGACAACUCCUCCUGCAUCAGUUAAAGCUACAGUACAAGAUCAUGUUAACUUGCCCCAGCCUCCCGUGCCUACCAAUCAACAGAAUUUGAAACCUUCUGGCCAAUUUCCAUCGGGCACUUCUAAUCUGACAUCAUCUUUGGACCUUCCACCCAUGCCAGCAAAUCCACCACAAUCAAAAGGAUACCCUAUUCAUCAGAUGCAUUCUGCAUCAGCACCACAGUCAUCUCAGUAUCCAAAUGCUACCAUGCCUCCUCAUGCUCCUCCACAGUAUUCAAAUGUUCCAUCUCAUAUGCCAACAGUGAACAGUCAACCACAGCAACCAUUGCAAAAUCCUGGAAUGUUUAACCAGCAAUUACAGCCACCCCUGCCCCAGUUGCCCAGGCCACCUUCCAUGCAGGCAUAUACACAUCAGAUGCAUCAGCAAAUACCCAAUUCAUAUGGUCAGCACAUGUUGCAACAACCAAUGUUUCAUGUAAGGUUCUAUACUAAAUUUAUGUGGUCCUAAUAACUAGAUACUCGUCUGCAAACUAACCAUGAUAUUUGGAAUUUCUCAGCCAGGCGGGAAUCCACAAAAUUCUUUCUUUACAGGUCAACAACAGCAGCAAUUACCCAACCAGCCACCACCAUUGCCGAAUCAGCCACCACCACAGCUAUACCAGGUGUGAUAUCGAUAUGGUUAAUUUGAUUAUGCUGUCUUGAAGUUGGCUUUUUCCUCGUGUAAAGAAAAUUGCAAGUAUAUUCCUGAAUGUUUCUGCCUUUCCGCACCAUUUGCUAUGCAAAAUCAGUUUUAGGAUGUAAAUGAAAUGAUGGAGUAUUGUUGAUCUGCUAUUAUCUCAGGAGUUUUAGAUCUCGAAGAACCAUGCAUGCAAUGAGUAAUUGUUAACUAACCUCUUGCUAUCAUAGGGUAGUAGUCCUGACUGCUGUUAAAUUAUCUGUAUUAGAUGACAUAUUAUCAGCAUUAUGAAGUAGCGGGUGAACUGAUUCUUAUCAUGUAUAAUCCAAUAGACUAAUAUUUCACACAUGUUGGCCUACAUGACAGUUAGCAUUGCCUUCUACAUGUUUUACUUGGCUAGGUUCUACAGUUCUUUUCGUUGUUCUGAUCUGAUUGACACUUGACAUUAUAAAAAAAAUCAGUGCACAUGCAGUUCAAACAUUACUAUUUUUUCUUGCUGCUGUGCUCCAAAUUCUUUACCACUAUGUCAUUAUUUAUUCUCCCUUUCAUUAUUUGUAACUGCUCAUAGGGUUCUUGCUCGGACAGUUGAACCAAAUGCCAAAUAUAGCAUGCUUAAAAUGUUUUUGUUUUCUCAGCAAGGACCGCAUAUUCUAGUUAUUCUUGUUAGGACAUCACAAAAAUUGAGGGCUCAUAUAUAAUAUCUAAUCCAUGGACAGUUUUAAGCAUCUCUUCAACAUUUUUCGCGCAUAAACUCCUCCGCAAGCUGGUCAUUCCAUGUUCUCUUGCAAAGAUUGAAUAGGAAACCCUUAACAAGCCAGUUUGAGGUUUAAUUCAUGUCUUGGGUUUUGUUGACUUAUGGAUCGCCAGAUUAUUGCUGACUUUUUGGACAUCAAGCACAACCUGAAAUUUAGUCUUAAGGACAUCAAGCACAACCUAAAAUUUGGUCUAUGCAAACCACACAUCACUUCUUAGAUACGAGAUUAUUGUUGUUCGCCAGAUUCUAACAGUCCCACCUUAUCUGUGAUGUGUCGAUCAUGGACUCAACAAUCAACAGUUAACUCUUGUAAUUUGUCUGUUUAACAGGCUAAUUCACAUGUGACCUCGCACUACAAUUCCCAAAGUAUGCAAGUCGAUAGAUCAGCUCCAUGGGGGCGUGGCAACCAAGAAGCAUCGUCGGCCGGAUCCCAUUUCCCUGGACAAUUCCAAGGUCUACCUGGACAGAUGACCCAAGGGAUUGGCGGCAUCCAGGCCCGCCCAGAAGCACCUGUAAGUGUCCCUGCAACUGCAUUUUAGAACAAGUGGUCAUGUGUGCUAUGUUUUACCCCUUUUCCUAAAAAUUGAACCACUCACGUGUUAUUUAUUUGAGCAGUUGACAGCCGACAUGGAAAAGAUGCUAGUACAGCAAGUCAUGAGCAUGUCGCCCGAGCAGAUCAACGUGCUGCCCCCGGAGCAACGUCAGCAGGUGCUUCAGCUGCGAGACAUGCUGCGUCAAUGAUGUACGCGACGAGCAGCUGCCCGAGCAGAAGAAUGACAGUUCAAUAGAGCCGCGCAGAUCAGAUCAAGUGCUCCAUGCUCGACUUACGCUGUCACCGUGACAUCUUCAUUGUUCAAGCUGAUUGACAUCCCUGCUAGCCUGCCGCGUGCCUGGGAGUGUGGUUGUAGAAUGAACGCUUAGCCCAUUUCGUUAUUUAUAGGCAGCUCUUUGGAUAUAUACAUUUCAACUGAUUGACAAAUGUCGCGGCAUGAUGUGGUACUCUGCUGCUGCCGCCACAGUUUUAUGCCGUGUUGUGAUUGAAUUCCGGUCCUUGUCUGAUGACGGGUCUAGCUCUUGAGAUGACUGGUUGAUAUAAUAUGAGAGUGGUGGUAAACGUUCUUGUUUGUACUCCUUUUUUCUUUCUUUCGGAUCUUUCUUUUCUCAAUUUUGUAUUGUCUACGUGCUAUGAUGUAGAACGUCAGAAAUUGUCUUACAUUAUGGGACAACGGGAAUAUUUUCUUUGAAACUUUUGGCAUUCAGUUAUCAGAAC